GUGAGAACUCUGUGCAUUGAAUAACAUCUUUAUCUGCCCGGCUUAGUUUUUGAAAUAUUUUUCAAGGUUUCUGCGACAUACCCUUUUUAUUUUAGUCAUAUGCUUUGCUUAGAUUGCAUUCUUGUCUCUUCUUUGUGGCCAAGGAAGAUCUACUGUUGGAUUGAUUUUUGUCUUGUUUUGUGUGUCUCAUGACUUCUAAAAUGCAAUUUAUACUGCUUUUCUGAGAGUAUUUAUGUCUGUUAAUCACUCAAAUCUUGAUUUGCUGAUGCAUUGAGAUCAAGCAACACUUUAUUUUCACAGGAUUAGUAAUUAAAUGGUUAAGGGCAAGAAAAGAGUUGGGGGUCUUUGUUAUUCUGGAUUUUGCUUUUGGUGAAAUUUGCAUAAUUACUGCUGAUACUUUUGUAAAAGAGAAAAGAAAGAGAAGGAACAGCCGAGAUAAAAGCUGCUUUACUAGAGAAAAAGUCAGAUAUGAGAGUGGAAAAAUCUUCUUUUACUUAUGUUUAUGUUACCUGUUUUGGGUAACAAUGGGACUUGUAGCAUGCUUUUUAAGCCUUAUAUGAUGCAAAGAUUGCAUAAAGAAUAGUGGAGCAUUUCCAAAGUCUUUUGGGACCUUGUAUCUGGCUUUCUUGGAAUUGAGAACUCUUGAAAUCGUUAAUUCCUAGCAUGCACUAUGCUAUCCCAUUUGCAAUAGUUAUUUGAUUUUGGAAUUUUUGACUGCCAGAUGCAGUGUAAACUAAGAAAUAUUUAAAAUAUAUUGAAGGUGAGUAUGGUCUCAGAUAUGAAUAAUUUUGGUUAGUUAAAAUGAAAAUUAGUAUUUUUUCUAAAAAUCUAUAAAUAAAUAAACAGUGCGUAAAUGAUGUUUCUUUCUUGCUUGUUAGCACUCUCAUUUUUUAACCUGUAGUUUAGGGCCUGCUCUCUCUCUGGAUGACUGCCAUCAAACUGACAUUCAGGAUAAUUAGUUGGAUUUGUUGUUCAGCCAUUUCAAAUUUUGCUAAUGUAGAAUAUUUGUAUGCAUAGAGAUGGCACGGCGGGAUAGGCAAAGUAGGAAAAAAAGGCAGAGGUGGGUUUGGGGCUCAAUUGCUGCUGCGAUUACCCUUGGCACUGCAGCAUUAGCAUGGUCUUACCUCCCUGCAGGAAAAGCAUCGACUUCGAAUGGUGGCCCCCAGGCACCUGAGCAUGAUGAUACAGCUAAACAAUGAAAAAAAAAAGAAGAAAAAAACGUUCGAUGUCAUGCGUGGAAAUAAAAGAAUAAAACGGCCAUUUAUGCUGCUACUUUGUGAAUAGUGAUCGGUUGGUUUAUCAGUUGCAAUUCCCUGGAUGCAGAGGCCAGAGGAUGUAUAGUACCAUCAAAUAAUUCGGGUUAUCUCGAGUUGUGCCAUUGAAUGACUAUCCCGGAGGUGAUGACUUUUGAAUUGAAUCAGCCUGUGUUAUCAAAUUAAUAUCUUUAUUUAGCUGCUGUACGCAUUAAUCAUAGCUCAUGUUUGUUGUUGUACACCCAAUGGAAGCCUGAUGUUUUUGUUCUUAAAUGCCUCGAGUAGGGCAAUCAGUAGAGGACAACGAGCAGCAGAUGGAUUUGAAAUAGUAGUUUACAUGUGAUAAAGAGGAUUAGAAUGUAUUGCGGCUUACAUGCAUCUAUAACAUAUUUGAGUUUGUUAAAACAUUUUAAAUUUUUCAACAAGGAUGGUUGUAUGCAGAACCCUCGUUUGUUUGAGCUGUUGUAGUGGAUGUGUGAGUUACAGCUACAUGUUUAUCCGUGCUGUAGUCAGUUGGUCCUGAGGUUAUUGUUGUAGAUUUAUUUUUUAAGCCAGCUGACUGAAAGUGAAUAUGUAUGCUUCCACGUCUCGUGCAGUUAUUCUAAAUCUUUUUAUCUUAAAUUUGAAAUUGAUUUCGGGUCAUUAAUUAAGUCAUUAAUUAAGUUGUUGGUAAUUUUUUAUAAGAUUUGAUUGUAUUAUUUUAUCAAUCAAUUGACAAAUACUACAUUAUUUGAGAUAAUUUUUUAAAAUAAAAAAUUUAAGAUAUAUAGCACUAUUAUUUUUGUAUAUAGUAAUGUUACAUAAAUACGAAGUUUCAAUAGUGUGUUCAAGGUUUUCCAUUGAAUUGAUGUGUGAUUGGCAAGAGCUUGAUGUUAUUUAUUUCACUAUUUGUUAGUGGUGUUCAAUAAUUGAAUCAGAAAAAGUAAAAAAUGAAAACAAAAAAUUGAAGAGAGAGAGAGAGAGGAAAGCUGUUUCCCAGUUUUCUGAAGCUUUGGCGCGCCAUCUUCGUUAAGGAUGUAAUUUCGAAGAGAUAAAAGCUGCUUUACUAGAGAAAAAGUCAGAUAUGAGAGUGGAAAAAUCUUCUUUUACUUAUGUUUAUGUUACCUGUUUUGGGUAACAAUGGGACUUGUAGCAUGCUUUUUAAGCCUUAUAUGAUGCAAAGAUUGCAUAAAGAAUAGUGGAGCAUUUCCAAAGUCUUUUGGGACCUUGUAUCUGGCUUUCUUGGAAUUGAGAACUCUUGAAAUCGUUAAUUCCUAGCAUGCACUAUGCUAUCCCAUUUGCAAUAGUUAUUUGAUUUUGGAAUUUUUGACUGCCAGAUGCAGUGUAAACUAAGAAAUAUUUAAAAUAUAUUGAAGGUGAGUAUGGUCUCAGAUAUGAAUAAUUUUGGUUAGUUAAAAUGAAAAUUAGUAUUUUUUCUAAAAAUCUAUAAAUAAAUAAACAGUGCGUAAAUGAUGUUUCUUUCUUGCUUGUUAGCACUCUCAUUUUUUAACCUGUAGUUUAGGGCCUGCUCUCUCUCUGGAUGACUGCCAUCAAACUGACAUUCAGGAUAAUUAGUUGGAUUUGUUGUUCAGCCAUUUCAAAUUUUGCUAAUGUAGAAUAUUUGUAUGCAUAGAGAUGGCACGGCGGGAUAGGCAAAGUAGGAAAAAAAGGCAGAGGUGGGUUUGGGGCUCAAUUGCUGCUGCGAUUACCCUUGGCACUGCAGCAUUAGCAUGGUCUUACCUCCCUGCAGGAAAAGCAUCGACUUCGAAUGGUGGCCCCCAGGCACCUGAGCAUGAUGAUACAGCUAAACAAUGAAAAAAAAAAGAAGAAAAAAACGUUCGAUGUCAUGCGUGGAAAUAAAAGAAUAAAACGGCCAUUUAUGCUGCUACUUUGUGAAUAGUGAUCGGUUGGUUUAUCAGUUGCAAUUCCCUGGAUGCAGAGGCCAGAGGAUGUAUAGUACCAUCAAAUAAUUCGGGUUAUCUCGAGUUGUGCCAUUGAAUGACUAUCCCGGAGGUGAUGACUUUUGAAUUGAAUCAGCCUGUGUUAUCAAAUUAAUAUCUUUAUUUAGCUGCUGUACGCAUUAAUCAUAGCUCAUGUUUGUUGUUGUACACCCAAUGGAAGCCUGAUGUUUUUGUUCUUAAAUGCCUCGAGUAGGGCAAUCAGUAGAGGACAACGAGCAGCAGAUGGAUUUGAAAUAGUAGUUUACAUGUGAUAAAGAGGAUUAGAAUGUAUUGCGGCUUACAUGCAUCUAUAACAUAUUUGAGUUUGUUAAAACAUUUUAAAUUUUUCAACAAGGAUGGUUGUAUGCAGAACCCUCGUUUGUUUGAGCUGUUGUAGUGGAUGUGUGAGUUACAGCUACAUGUUUAUCCGUGCUGUAGUCAGUUGGUCCUGAGGUUAUUGUUGUAGAUUUAUUUUUUAAGCCAGCUGACUGAAAGUGAAUAUGUAUGCUUCCACGUCUCGUGCAGUUAUUCUAAAUCUUUUUAUCUUAAAUUUGAAAUUGAUUUCGGGUCAUUAAUUAAGUCAUUAAUUAAGUUGUUGGUAAUUUUUUAUAAGAUUUGAUUGUAUUAUUUUAUCAAUCAAUUGACAAAUACUACAUUAUUUGAGAUAAUUUUUUAAAAUAAAAAAUUUAAGAUAUAUAGCACUAUUAUUUUUGUAUAUAGUAAUGUUACAUAAAUACGAAGUUUCAAUAGUGUGUUCAAGGUUUUCCAUUGAAUUGAUGUGUGAUUGGCAAGAGCUUGAUGUUAUUUAUUUCACUAUUUGUUAGUGGUGUUCAAUAAUUGAAUCAGAAAAAGUAAAAAAUGAAAACAAAAAAUUGAAGAGAGAGAGAGAGAGGAAAGCUGUUUCCCAGUUUUCUGAAGCUUUGGCGCGCCAUCUUCGUUAAGGAUGUAAUUUCGAAAAUUUAUUAUUAUCUUUUAUUUUCUCCAAAAAAAAAAAAAAAGCAGCCCGGCCCAAGUGGAGCAGCUAGUGGAAGCAGUGUGGGGCCUAAUGCAGCGGGAAUUAAAACGACGGCGGAUUAAGGAACUUUAUCCGUCAGGCACAGCUGCAACUGAAUAACCGAAGAGAGAGAGAGAGAGUUACUUUGGAGCAGGCGAAUGAAAUCGACAUGAAAGCAAAGCUCCGAUAAUGGAGCUAGGUGUACACAUAUCCUCUUCUUUUGGCAGUCUGUUCCCUAAUUACAGCACACUAACAGCAUAUAGAGAAAUUAAAUUUGGGUUCCAAGGCAGAAGUAGUAGUAUCACUUGUAGAAGCAAUGAGCACCAAAGCUUUGUAUUGUCAGAGAAAGAAGUACAGCAACAGCAGCUUUGGAGUAACCAACGGGAAAUGGACUUAGACGAUGGUGAUGAAAUGGAAUUUGACGACGCCUCGUCGUUUCUAUCUCUGUCUGAAAAACCAGACAGGAAUAUGGCUUCGCCGGACGACUACGAGAUUGAAGAACUUGACUACGCCUCUCAUCCAAAUCACAAAAGCGGUGAGUUUCUUGUUUGUUCUUUUCCAAUUAAGACGCAAACGCCAUAUGAACUGACAGAUGGAAUUAAUCGCAGGAUAUGUGGCAGUACUAGGGAAGCCAAAUGUGGGGAAAAGUACGCUCGCAAACCAAAUGAUCGGUCAAAAGCUCUCAAUUGUUACAAAUAAGCCCCAAACUACAAGGCACCGUAUUCUUGGUAUCUGUUCUGGCCCAGAGUAUCAGGUUUGAUUUUUCUUUGUUAAUAUGUUUAUUUUUUCUUUAUUCAUAACAAUGUACCUCAUUUGAUUACAAUUAUGAAACUAGUUAGGAUGAUUUAACUGACUGUAGUUAUGCUAGCAGAUGAUACUUUAUGAUACCCCUGGUGUAAUUGAGAAGAAAAUUCACAUGUUGGACUCUAUGAUGAUGAAGAAUGUCCGCAGUGCCGGGAUUAACGCUGACUGUAUUGUUGUUCUCGUUGAUGCUUGCAAAGCUCCUGAAAGAGUAUGCUUCCUUGUAUUCUCUUUUCAUUUUUCAAUAAUUUCUUUCACCCUUUCUUAAUUCAUCAUUUCCUGUUUCUAGAUUGAUGAAAUUUUGGAAGAGGGAGUGGGAGACCACAAAGAUAAAUUGCCUAUUUUGUUGGUACUGAAUAAGAAGGAUCUGAUCAAGCCUGGUGAAAUUGCUAAAAAGCUUGAGGUCACAACUUGUUUUUGAUUUAUGUAUUACCAUGGAACAGUUGUAUGCAUCUGCUUUGGAGAAUUUUAUUUAAUUUUUUUUCCCCCAAUUGAUUCAUUUAGUGGUAAGAAAUUUGAUGGUUUGCUAACGCCACCGCCUCUGCUGACAUUCCAUUUAUGUUAUUCCAAUCACUUCACAUUCUAACUAUAUUUUCUUCACUUUCCUUUCAGUGGUAUGAGAAAUUUACAGAUGUUGAUGAGGUCAUACCCGUGAGUGCAAAAUAUGGUCAUGGAGUGGAAGAUAUCAGGGAUUGGAUAUUGACCAAACUUCCACUUGGCCCAGCUUAUUAUCCAAAGGUAUGUCAAAGCCCAAGAUUCGAGAUUUUGGAUACUAUUUUUGGAUACUAUCUUAGCCUUUUAUAUCAGCCUUAUGCUAUUAACCUGAUGUUUGAAAUUAGUAGGAUGAUUUAGACACAAUAAAUGUUUGGAAUCCAUGUUGAGUUGAUGGAGAUGGCACUAGGAAGAGAUGGGGAAAAAUUUUUGAAAAUUACUCUGCACCGAAUUUCUUGCUUUCUUUUUUUCUCCUUUUCUUUUUCUUCUAUGUCCUUUCCGAACUAUCAAUUCAAUAGUUCUUAUUUUCUUAUGACUUUUUUUUCUGUGUGGGGAAUUAGUUGCUUCUUCAGUGAAUCUCUUUACUUGCUGUGUUUAUGAGUUUCAGGACAUUGUUAGUGAGCACCCAGAAAGAUUCUUUGUAGGUGAGAUUAUUAGAGAGAAGAUCUUUAUGCAAUACCGCAAUGAGGUUCCUUAUGCAUGUCAAGUAUGUAACUUAACAUUUCAACACUGGCUCAUAUUUGUAGAAUUUAAUGCCUUUUUGAACUUUUGCAUUCUGUGAUUGAAAAUUUUGGUUUUCUAAUAUGUGAAACCUCCAGGUCAAUGUUGUAAGUUACAAAACUAGGCCAACUGCCAAAGAUUUUAUACAAGUGGAGAUUGUUGUGGAGAAAAACAGUCAAAAGAUAAUUCUCAUUGGAAAAGUAAGUCCAUUCUUGUAACUGUAUGAAUUCCUAAUUGCUUGAUGCCUGAAGGAACCUUGGCUUGGCCGGGUCGGAUGAAAUAGAGGCCUUGACUUGUUUGGGGGGUAGAGCUGCCCAAGAGGCAGCACAAAUAGAGGGUGGCAAGAGAAGGCACUAACAAUAGUCAAAGAUCUAGUAUCCAGACCCUUUAAAAUGAGGCAAAUAAUACAUUCUAUAAGAGUUCUGCAUGUUCAAGGGCCGGCAGCAUAUGCAGUUCUGCAGAUAAAAUUACAAAUGUUAUUCAAAGUAAUUGUAGUCGGUGAUUGUAACCGGAGGUCUGGAGCAUAUAUACUUGCACAUGUCCACUCUCUAGCAUAUCAUUUGAUGUGGUUUCUGUGACAUUGAAUGUUUGCAAAACACUGUAGGGGGGGAAAGCUCUAAAACUACUGGCAACAGCUGCUCGGCUUGACAUUGAAGAUUUUUUACAAAAGAAAGUCUACCUUGAGGUACCAACCUGAACCCUUCUGUAAUAAUAAUAAUCUGUAGAGUUUGUCUGUUGAUGAAAAAAUAAUAUUGGGCUUUCACAUCAUAUUUGGUGCGCUCUUAUCAUCAGUAUCAAUAACAAAGUGAUAGACCCUCGGUUUUGUUGUAAAGGAAAUAGAUAAUUUGACAGGAAAGGGAUAUGUGUUUUAUCGAAAUUAAGGGAAACAAGCUAACAGCCAGGUAGUUCAAGAGACCUGGUUCUCUCCCAAAGCCAAGUCUCAAUACAAAUAAUUCUCGAUAUCCCUACACUUUCCCUUGUGCCCCUUUUUAUUGCCUACAUAUUACCAUAAAUAACUCCUACCCAUAAUUACCCAGAUUCCAUGACCAUUAUGGCAGAUAUUGGUUACCAUAUCCAUACCAAAACAAUGUUCCCAAAACUGCCCGUAAAUCAAGGUAAUUACCAGCUAGGUACUUCCUUUCUUGCGUCGUGCAUAUGUGUACCUAAUUGGUGGCCUAUCACAAAGCUGCUGCAUCAAAUGUAAGCAAUAUUAUGGGAGAUUUUUGUUUGUUAUUCAUUUUCCUUUGUUCACUUAUAACUCUUUUACGGAACAGAUUGAAGUAAAAGUAAAAGAGAAUUGGCGGCAAGACGAAGGACUUUUGAAGCACUAUGGUUAUGGGGGGCAAAUUCAAGCAUUGUGAAUUGUGUGAUGGUGAAGUUUCAUCACAAUUGACCCAUUUCCCACUAGGUAAGUCAAGGUGGUCCGGUCAUUGUAGAAAAAAAUGACAAAAAGAGGAAAUAGCUCUCAAUUUUGUUGACUAGUAUAGAAUCCUCCCAUAUUGAUUUUGUUUGUGUUAGUGUUUUGUUAAAGAUGAUUCAUAUCAUCUAUGAUGUGAUCUUGGACAAUUAAUGUCUUUUAAACUCCCAUGACCAUGAGAGCCUCCCCCACGGCUCUGGUAACAUUGGCAUGUUGGGUAACUUGAAGCCCAUUUGCAGAGUGGAUAAGCUCCUCCAAGGUGCCCAUCCUAUUCCCACGCCAGAAUUAUAUUUAUAUAUAGUAACCGGGCCUCCGGGAGUGUGUUCGUAAUCUUCUAACUUGUCCUGUAAUCCUGUUCAUCAAAUGACUAGACAUAUGCCACUCCACAUGUCUUCAUGUAAGUUGAUCCGCAAAUCUCGCCAUUUAAACUGUCGGUGACAUAAGUUUCACAGGAGAAGUCACUCGUUGGAAAUUAGAUUAGAUCCUAUGUACAGUUGACACUUGGGCCCGUUUGCCUGUACUUAUAAAAAAAAUAUGUGGGCCCAGCAGUUUGAUCCCAGACGUGGCAAAAUUCUGUCACAGCAAACCCUAGGAUUCGGUUUUUUUAGCGGAAAUUUUUUCUUACACCGAUCUUGCAUUGAAGAUAAUGGGCCCACCAAUUUUCUUAUUAUGUUUGCUGAUGACAUCAUUGCCUAAUUUAAAAACUAUUAACAGGUUAAAUAUUAAAAAAAAAAUUAAGGGGAGAUUUUGUCAAUUUUUUUUUUCAAUGCUUGGAUUUAGAAAAAUUGAUUUUAUGAUAGAUUAUAUUUUAUACAAUUUUAUAUUUUUUUUUAUCUUUUGCUAUGUUCAACGUCUAAUGCAAGAUUUUAAAGCUUUAGCUCUAAAAUAUGAGUUUAUGUGAAGCAAAUACGCUUUUGCAGGUUGUGGUGUAAGAUUAAUUUUAGAUAAUUUUGAUUAUAUUAAUAUAUAAAAGAUAUUAGUCACUAUUCCAUUUAAUGGUAUACAUAGUCUAAUUCUAAACUACACCAAGCACACAUAAAUAUUAUAUUUAACUUAAUCCAAUCACAUCCCAUUUGAUUUUAUGUAGCAAUGGCCCCUUUGUGUUAAUUAAGUCACUCUUCCUGAUUUUUCACUUCUAAAAUAAGUUUAAAAGCAUUUAAUUUACGUUGGCGAAAAUUACGACGAAGAGAAGAAAUAAAUAUUAAUUACCUUUGGAUAAUGUUGAAAAUUAAUACUAAAAUGCUGCCAAAUACAGACCAGACCUAACCUCUAAAGGAGUAAAGGACGAUGAUUUUCCACCAAGGAAAGGAGAGUGGCCUUGCGUAUCAAAGUUAAAUUGAAGUAAAAUAACACAAAAGGACGCGUGAAGCAAAUGUAUAUAUUUUAUAUUAUGCAGCUAUCAGCAUUGAUGAAGACGUCGCACAUGCAAAAUCUUCAAUGAGAAAAUAGUUAGUGAUGUUGGGACGGGACCCUACAUGGAUGGAAAUGAUUAGAAUAGAAGCAAUGAGGCUACAUAAAAAGAGCACUUGAUGCUUACCUGGUUAAUUAAAAUCCCACCAUUUGCGGAUGGAACAUAGAGACUUUUGUUUGUUUUCCAUUUCCAUCACGUCCUGCAUCAAGUUCAACUGAUUGAUGAGCCUUCCUGAAGUUUCAAUUUUCAAAUGCCUAUCAAGCAUUUUCGCUUUUUGACAGAUUUCUUCUUAGGAAAACCAAAAGAUAGAUGGAGGGAGAAAAAAAUAAUAAUUAAAAUAAGAUAAUAGAACAAUCCGACGGCUGCUAUUAGACUUUCAACUGGUUUCCCUACAUAUUCACCCGUACUGCAUGGGUAUGUACUAUGUACAUGGACCGUGGUUCGUCAGUGGUUGGGAAUAAAUUGAAGAAAUUAAGAAAACAGUGACAGAAUCUUAACCCCCCCCCUCCCCCCAAAAAAAUCAUUGGAUUCGUUUAUUUUAUGGGAUAAAUCUUUAAUAUACAUACAUGGUAGUAGAACUGAAAUGGUAAACUCUGAAUUUACGAGAACUCCCAUCAUUUUGAAUUAUUAUCUUGAUCGUUGACCGAGGGAAGCCUAAAUCAAAAUCAAGUGUUCCCAUCAUUUUCAAUGAGGAUGGUAAUUAUCAUAUCCCAAAAUUUCAUUUUAUUUUCUCGACGUUUUUUGUUCUCUUGGCUGUGAUAGAUCCCCCGACUUGUUUCCCAUGCGUUAUAUCAUAUCAACGCGACUGAUGAUGACACUGGACAUUCCCAUGUGACUUUAAAUAAUCUUUUUUGUUGUAGAUAAACCUAUUUACCUUUGAUACUGCAAUAAAGUGGGAAUUGAAAGAACGGUCCCAAGGUUGCAGGGGCAGUUUCUGUCAAAUUAUCUAAUUCAGAUACUACAUUAUUUUGGCAGUUCUAGGAGGAAAAACUUCACGAGUUCACUAAUAAAAAAUAUAGCCUCAGCUCCACUGCUCCUUAUCCACUCAGACACAGAGAGAGUGAAAGAGGAUGAGGCGCUUGCAUUUAGCUUUCGCAAUCUUCUUAGCUUUUUUCAUCCACCGGCAAUCUUUCAACGUCCUACAUGUUGAAGCAGGAGAUGGAUUUAUAAGAACAAGAGGAUCGCAUUUUCUGUUGAAUGGUAAUCUUUACUUUGCAAAUGGAUUUAAUGCAUAUUGGUUGAUGUAUGUAGCUUCUGACCCAUCUCAGAGAUCCAAAGUAUCAACUGCUUUUCAUGAAGCUGCAAGCCAUGGCCUCACUGUUGCCAGAACUUGGGCUUUCAGUGAUGGUGGUUACAGACCCUUACAGCGUUCCCCUGGCUCCUACAAUGAGCAAAUGUUUAAGGUCUUAGUUCGCUCACCCUGUUCUUGUUUCUCUAUUCCUUCCAAUAUUCUGAUGAUGUUGAAUAUUUAUUUAUUUAUUUAAAUUCUUUUCCAAAUGGGUGGUUUAAAAGGGAUUGGAUUUUGUGAUAGCUGAGGCUAGAAAGUAUGGGAUCAAGCUCAUAUUGAGCUUGGCCAAUAACUAUGAUAGUUUUGGAGGGAAGAAGCAGUAUGUGAACUGGGCUAGAAGUCAAGGCCAAUUCCUCACAUCUGAUGAUGAUUUCUUCAGAAACCCUGUUGUUAAGGGCUACUACAAGAACCUUAUCAAGGUCAGUUAUUUAAAUAUUUGAUAUUUUUUCUCUUGGUAGUCUAAUUAACCCUGGCUUUGUAUGGAACAAUAUUUUUAGGAGUACUUAUUUUAGUGGAUUAAGAAAAAUGAGAAAGUCAACAAAAUUGAUGAUAAUGUGAAAUUUUAACUUUUGAUAUACUGUUAAAAAGUUCAUUAUUCUGCUUGGAAUUUCAGUUUGUGGUUGGUAAUGGUGUUACUGAAGAAUUUCAAUUGACCAUGAUAAUGUGAAAAUUUCUUGAGGCUCUUCUUUUGUGAGAUAUGAGAUGUAUGAUGACCACUACUAUUUUGUCUAUGCUUUUUGCAGACUGUUCUUAACAGAUAUAAUACCUUUACUGGAAUUCACUACAAAGAUGACCCGACAAUUAUGGCAUGGGAGCUUAUGAAUGAGCCGAGAUGCACAUCAGAUCCCUCUGGAAGGACCAUUCAGGUUGAUUGAUCUUCUUUCCCUUUUCUUCUGGUAUUUCUUUCUUUGUUUAUAUUUUCAGUCUAACAUUUCCUACUAAGCUUCAAUUCUUUAUUCAUUAAUAGUCUACUCCUUUUUAGCAUGAUAUUUUUUUCAAUCCAAUGCUUUAAAAGUUGAUUUGCAUUUAAUUUUGGUUUCAAUUUGUUGGUCCACCUUAAAUACUAAGAUCGUCACUUAUUAGUCCUCAAGGAUUCACACAGCUCUGCCCACUGACAAUUUAUCCCCACCUCCAUGAGGGUUAGACCCCAUCAAUGAAUGCUUUUGUUGAAAACUCUUUUUACCUUUUCAAGAACCAGUCCAGUUCUAACUGCAUUGUGAUUUGGUGAAGUUUGACUUCUGUCUUAAACAGGAUUCGUGAUUAACUCGUGCUCAUUGUUGUUUGUAUCUUUGUACGACAGGCCUGGAUAACGGAAAUGGCUUCAUAUGUGAAGUCCAUAGACAGAAAUCACCUGCUGGAAGCUGGUUUAGAAGGAUUUUAUGGACAAUCAACACCUCAAAGAAAGAGAGUCAAUCCUAAUCUUGAUAUUGGAACAGACUUCAUUGCCAAUAACCUGAUUCCGGGCAUUGAUUUUGCAACAGUUCAUUCCUACCCUGAUCAAUGGUAUAUUUCUUAUUUAAUGGAAACAAUUAAAUUACAUUACUUGAUGUCAUAAAGCAAACAAUAUGAAAUGAAUUUGCUGAAAUUUAUUUUUAUUAAUUCUUACUGCGUGAGCAGGUUAUCAAGCUCAAAUGAUCGAGAUCAACUUUCUUUCUUGAACAACUGGCUCGACACACACAUCCAAGAUGCUGAGCACAUUCUUCGGAAGCCAAUACUCCUAGCAGAAUUCGGGAAAUCGCGGAAAGAUCCUGGUUAUAGCACCUACCAGAGAGAUGUAAUGUUUAAUACCGUGUACUACAAGAUUUAUUCUUCGGCUAAAAGAGGAGGUGCAGCAGCUGGAGGCCUGUUUUGGCAACUUCUGACUGAAGGAAUGGACGCUUUUCGAGAUGGUUAUGAGAUAGUUUUGAGCCAAAGCCCCUCGACUGCAAAUGUUAUUACUCAACAGGCUCACAAGUUGUACCAAAUUCGUAAGAUUUUCGCAAGAAUGAGAAAUGUUGAGAGGCGGAAGAGGUCCAGGGGCAUGAGGAGACGUCAGAGGCAGGGUGGAAACAGGGGAAGGCGCAUAGGAAACUGAAAAUAUGUAUUUGCUUGAACGAAAUGAGACCCGGGUUGUAUCAGCGCGUGUUGCUAUCAACUUAAACGGAUAGUCAGUCAGGUUUAGGGAUAGCAACUGGAUCGCUCCAUAAUAGAUAUCCAUAAUAUUCAUUUAAUUAGAUCGGAUAAUAUUCAUCUAAAAAUUUUUAGAUUUUGAAAUGGAUAUUUUAAAAUUAUAUCCAGAUGGAUAUGGAUGGAUAUGGAUAAUUAUUUUUACCUAAUGGAUAUCCGUUUAACCCAACACAAGUUUAAAAAAUUUUAAUUUUAUAAAAUAAAAAAUAAAAAAUAUAAUAAACAAACAAUUAUAAAAAUAUUAUAUUAACUAGUGAAAAUUUUACUGCUGUACGGCCAAGGCGGAUGUACGGUACAGNNNNNNNNNNNNNNNNNNNNNNNNNNNNNNNNNNNNNUUAAAAAUUAAAGUUUUCAAAAUUACCCUUUAAUUUUUUAACUUAUUUAAUAUUAUUAAUAAUUAUUAUUUUAUUUCCGUACAGCAGUAUUAUAAAUGGACUUCCGCCGGAAAAUCGCCGGACCACCACCGGACUUCGCCGGACCACCGUCGGACAUUGCCGGAAUCACCGCCGGACCUCGACGGAAGGUCGCCGGACCACCAUCGGGAUCGCCGGAAGGUCGCCGGACCACCGCCGGACUUCGCCGGAACUCGCCGGAAUAUCGCCGGACUCCGCCGGACUUCGCCGGAAAGUUGCCAGACCACCACCACCACCAACCACCAGACCGCCAUUUUAUUAUAUAUAUAUUAUUACUAAUAUAAAUAAUUUAAUAACCAAAUUUAAUAUUAGAAUUUUAAUUAUUUUAUAUUAUUAUUUUUAUAUAAUAAAAAUAAAAUAUCCAUGGAUAUUCAUGGAUCUCCAUAAUUAUAUGGAUAAAAUCCAUAUUCAUGUCCAAUAUUAAAUACUGAAUAUGGAUAUGGAUAUAUCCAUUAUGGAUAAUUAUGAAUUUAUGUUUAGAUGGAUAUUAUCCAUCUAUAAUUGGAUAUUUGUCAUCCCUAAUCAGGUUUUGGGAAGUUGUUUCUCUGUUAGUGAUGAACGUUGGUCAUCCAGGAGAGUAGCUAAGACUUUUUCUUUAAGUACAUGUUAAUCUUUAUACUUUUGCGCUUUGGUGCCAUGAUAAAUGUUGGAAGAAUUUCAAAAACUUCAUGAACCAUAUUAUUUUUAAAGUUUAAAGAAAUGAAGUGUACCUAACGGGAAAAUAAGUUUACAAUUUAAUUAAUUUCAUGGAGAGAGACACUAAAGUGUACUUUUAAACACAGUUUCUCUUCUGAGUUUAGUUUUCAGUUACUUGAUAAUGGCACAGAUACUGCAUCAACACUCGACUCAAAAAUUUUGAGAACAAUGAGAGUUUAGGAGUGAGACUAGGGAAAUGAGCACUGGUUCUUACUGAAUUUUGAUUGAUUCAUGCCACAUUAAUGGGUUUGGCCCAUUUGCGAAUGGCCCACUCUUUGGCAGUAUCACUGUGUUUAUGGGCACGAAGUAUUGGGCUUCAGAUUUGUUUGUAAAUUCUGAAUUAAUGAACUUUUCAAAACGUAUUCCGAAUCGACUUUGAGGUGCAAAUUGCCAUGCAGAUGCAUGGCUGCAGCAUCUCCAAAGCAAACAUGCUUCUUCAGUCGACUAGGCAUCGUGUCGGGAGAUUAUUUGCAAGCUCGGCCAUCGCUUGCACCGAACGGCGUCCUCUCCUACUCUUUCAAGGAACCCAAUUACCUGUUUAUGUAAGCACACCAGAGGUCAAUUCUCAGCUAAAGCACCUAGUCAAAUCCGGCUACCUGCAUGAUGCUCGCAAGAUGUUCGAUACAAUGACUCAGCGAGACGAGAUAUCGUGGACCACGCUGAUAUCUGGCUACGUCAAGGCCAUGGACUCCAUUGAAGCUUUGGCAUUGUUUUCAAGGGUGUGGGUUGAGCCUCAAAUGAACAUGGACCCCUUUAUUCUCAGCCUUGCCCUCAAGGCUUGUGCGCUCAGUGUAAAUGUCAAUUACGGGGAAUCAUUACAUGGAUAUACCGUCAAAACUGGUUUUGUGAACUCAGUUUUUGUGGGUAGUGCCCUUUUGGAUAUGUACACGAAACUUGGGAAAAUUGAGUUGGGUUGUAGAGUUUUUGAUGAAAUGCCGUUGAGAAAUGUUGUGUCCUGGACUGCUAUUAUUACGGGGCUUGUUCGUGCUGGUUAUAACAAGGAGGGGUUGAUUUACUUCUCCGAAAUGUGGAGAUCAAAGGAGCAGGGUGAUUCAUACACUUUUGCUAUUGUAUUAAAGGCAUCUGCUGAUUCAGGUGCUUUAAAUUUUGGGAGGGAGAUUCAUACUAUCAUGCUAAAGAGAGGUUUUGAUGUGGUCUCCUUUGUGGCUAACUCUUUAGCUACCAUGUAUAGCAAAUGUGGGAAGCUGGACUAUAGUUUGCGUUUGUUUGAAAGAAUGAGCACUCGGGAUGUGAUUUCAUGGACCACAAUAAUAACAUCUUAUGUCCAGAUGGGUGAAGAGGAAAAUGCCUUUGAUGCAUUUGUAAGGAUGCAGGAAUCAGAUGUAAAGCCCAAUGAGUAUACUUUUGCAGCAAUUAUCUCUGCUUCCGCCAACCUUGCAAGAAUCCAAUGGGGUGAGCAGUUACACGCCCAUGUUUUACGGUUAGGCCUUGUGGAUUCUUUGUCUGUGGCCAAUUCCAUUAUGGCCAUGUAUUCGAAAUGUGGACAGUUAACUUCAACUUCAAUAGUGUUUCAUGGGAUGAUCAGGAGAGAUAUUAUUUCAUGGAGCACCAUAAUUGGAGGGUAUUCUCAAGGAGGUUAUGAAGAAGAAGCUUUUGAGUAUCUAGCAUUGAUGAGAAGGGAAGGACCUCGACCUAAUGAGUUUGCUUUUGCUAGUGUGCUGAGUGUGUGUGGAAAUAUGGCAAUUCUUGAGCAAGGGAAGCAGAUCCAUGCUCAUGUAAUGUCUAUUGGGUUGGAGCGAACAGCUAUGAUAAAAAGUGCUCUAAUCAAUAUGUACUCAAAAUGUGGUAGUAUAAAAGAGGCUUCACAAAUCUUCUAUGAAACAGAAAGUGAUGAUAUUGUCUCGUGGACAGCCAUGAUUAAUGGAUAUGCUGAACAUGGUUACAGCCAAGAAGCCAUUCAUUUGUUUGAGAAGGUUCCCAUGGUUGGUUUGAGACCAGACUCAGUUACCUUCAUGGGCGUUCUUACUGCCUGUAGCCAUGCUGGACUUGUUGAUCUUGGUUUCCACUACUUCAAUUUGAUGAGUGAUAAGUAUGGUUUUGUUCCUUCUAAGGAACAUUAUGGUUGCAUGAUUGAUCUCCUUUGCCGAGCUGGACGACUUAGUGAUGCUGAGAACAUGAUAGAAAAUAUGCCUCACCAAAAGGAUGAUGUCGUUUGGUCAACUUUGCUUCGAGCAUGUAUGGUCCAAGGUGAUGUUAAUUGUGGGAGACACACUGCAGAGAAGAUUCUUGAAUUACAUCCAUCCUGUGCAGGGACUCACAUUACCCUUGCUAACAUUUAUGCUGCCAAAGGAAGAUGGAGGGAAGCAGCGGAAGUUAGGAAGAUGAUGAGAUCAAAGGGAGUAAUUAAGGAGCCUGGAUGGUCUAGGAUUAAGGUAAAGGAUCAGGUUUCUGCAUUUGUUUCUAGUGAUCGGCGACACUCACAGGGUGAAGAUAUAUAUCGUAUGCUAGACUUACUAGCUUCAAGGGAAUCUGAUAUUGACGACUUGGAUUCUCUUGUACACGAUGCUGAAGAUUAACAGAAGGGCAGAUCCAUACUUUAAUUGUCAUUGCAUGUCGAGGCUAUGAUCCAUUUACUUAGUUGCUGACUUGAGAGCUGCUUAUACAAGCACAACUGCCAGCCAGUACUUGUCAAUUCAACAGUGGCAAGAAGCUGAUUCUGAUAAACAAAAUUCUAUCGCAAUGUGGACAGCAAUGUGAAUCUGUUCAGGAAUAUGAGCAAGCACAAUCAAAGAAUGAGGUUCUGAGGGCAUCCAUGUUGAAAGCCUAUAAAGUCAAGUGAGAUGAAAUCUGCAUCUGCAGCGUAGGGGCUGCCCCAAAAUGCGUCAGACGGAUUGUCAAGUAAUCAAGGUUGUAGUCUUGUAAGAAUUUAUGGGCACUGUUGUCGAUUAUGCACAUUUGUGCACUUCUUAAAGUGCAAUCAUAAUGGUUUUUGCCUUUUUAAAUCCAGGGAUCUACCAACUUUCAGAAUACUUUAUCGGGCUGAGGAAUCCAGAGUUUGUGAGAUUAGAGUGAUGCUGCAACCAAUUUGUGUUUUGGUUUCUUCGUCAGCCAAGAAGAUAUAGGAAGCUGUUGAGGGACAAUUGCAGGUGACAGCACAGAGUCUUACAAAAAGAACCGUGAAGAUCUCGAGGCUUUGUGAACAUCAGUUUCUGGUAAUAAAUUUGGGAUGGAACAACUAGGAGUUGAUUGGGCUGUUCACUGUUAAAACAAAAUUGACCUGGUUGCACCUAUUUUUUUGGCAUCUGAGAACACUUUGCUUUUGGACGAGUGAACCAUGCAAUUUGUUUUCUCUAUUUUGUCUUCCUCCCGCCACACCCAUGUAAAAUUUCUCAUUUUCCUUUAUCGGCAUGUAGAUUAGAUUUAAUGAUCCAGCAUAUUUUAACUCAAUCGUCUGGAUCGAGUCCAAAGAAACGAGAUCACAGAAGCAAAAAUAACAGCAGUCUAUUGCAAAGUUUCUAAUCAUUUCAUUUUCUUUUGCCAUCCUGUUUAAAAGGAUGUCUGAACCCUCCUUGACGGGAGUGACGGGGGACGUUGUGUACACAAGCAGAUACACAUGGUGUCACUCCAUUUAGUAAUGCCAACUGAGUUCAGAAAUGAAUUUGUUUGCUACUUACGACCGUUAUUAAUCAGCUUUACAAAGUUCAUUAUUCAUCCUUAAGCCAAUGUUUAAUCACAUACAAAACAAAGCCUACACAAAAUGCAGCCGCCGCCAAAGCAACGAUUAUCUGUAUUGACAGAUUGGAAUUAAAUGCUUCAAGCACGAUAGACUUCCAUGAAAAGAACCAUAAAAGGGAAAAAGUUGACCCCACGGCAGCACCAACUACCACUUGGCCGAUUGUAUGCAGUUGUUGUGAUACCCGUAACCAUGACUGCAAAUCCCAGAAAAUAUGAUAGAGAUAAGCAACCUAUUCAAUUCAGUUACUUCUCUGCUCAGAGAAUUUAUCAUUUAAAGACCUCAGAGAGAACAGUUGUAUUAAAAAGUGCAGUAUUUAGCAAUGAUUAAUUUCAGUAUUGCUAAUGCAUCUUUGCUAUGGAACUUUUGUAGAUUCUAUGCUGCAUUUAAGGAGUGACAUUAUCAUACAUUAUUCAUACUUACCAGAUAUGAACCUAUUGCCAAGGUAAAUCCACUAAUCAUCAAUGAGGCUUCAUUUAUCCCCAGCCAUUCCACAACUGCAACACCAGGGAAACAAUAGUUUACUAAACUGUCUACAUAAAGCCAAAGCUUUGAUAACAUACAAACCACUAGCACUAAGACCAACAAUCAAAAUAUAAAUGAACCAUGCCCUUCCCCAAAGUAGAUCCUGGAAAAUCAAGAGAACGAAAUAAUGGCAGAUUCACAUGAAAAAUGUUUGGAUUGAAUUUUUCUUGCACAGGAAUGCACUCUGCAGUUAUAACAAUCAAUUGGAAAAGACUAAAAGAAAUGCACAACCAUAUGUUGAAAAAAUGAAAUCAAUCUAUGUAACAGUCAUUCUGCUGAUUAUUAGAAUUUUGAAAUUUGAAGAUUUAAAAACUGCUAAUGCAGAUAAUGAAGCAAACACUUCUGAAAGGUUCAAAUUAUUUUUCUUCUUACUAGUGCUUCUCUGCUUUCUAAACCAUUCAUCGCAAUUUGACUAGUAGGAAGCAUAAACUCAGUAUAAUGCGCCGGUAAGGCUGCAUAAUAUACAAGUUAUCUUGAAAUAUGCAUUCCUCAGACUAAGAAUUCAAGAAUACCAAAAUAAAUUAACAACCAACCCCGGCUCCUUUUAAUGGUAUAAAAGGAAGAAAGGAAUUACUUGACAGAAUAAUAAAGCCGCCAAUGAAGAAAAUGGAUUGUGCAUGAGAAGACGGCAUUCCAGGAUCAGAUUUCAAAGUGGGAACAGGUCUCUCUUGGUUUAGAAUCCGUUUGAGAACCAUAGCUAGUGCAGAAUUAAUAACAGAUCCCAUGGUAGCCCACAAAGCUUCUGAAUCAUGCCUCCAGAUAAUGAUAACACUAAAUAAUCCAGAUACCAGCCACUUGCUCUGUCACCAACAGCAAAUAAACAAUUAACCUUAUGACAACACAAGAUUAAACAGCCUUAUCAAUCUUGAGUCAUUUUUACUUUCCAAGCAUAGCGUCCUCCGUUUCUCAGGCACAUUUAAAAGUGCUUUCAAAUAGUUAAAAGCAAUUAAUGUCCACCUGCAGUGUUCAAUUGAAGUUGAGAAAAGACAAGUGCUUUUCUUUCAAGAUCAGAAAACACUUGGUGUGCUUUCUGAAUAAUCACGAAUAGCGCUUCCUAAAAACAUGUCCCUAAAAGCACAGUAAGCCAAGCUACAGCUUUCUUGGAAAAAUCACUCAAUUGAUCAUUACGUUGACGUAAUUCAAUAUAAACAAGAAGCCACGACUGAAAUUACACAAUCAAAGAAACUAUACGCAUAGCACCAAAUAGAAAAUAAAUUUUUAUAAAAAAAAGAAAAAGAAAAAAGAUUUACAAGUUAAAGAGUAAAAGAUAUGCACACCAGACGAUUAAUAGUGGACUCCAGCCCAGAGGCAACUAACUUUGAUGACCCAUCAACAAGAGCUUCUUGUUCAAACACGUUAACAUCUUCCUCAAUAUUACUACUACUGCUACCAUUCCUAAACGCUGACGUUUUUAUCAAUUCAGUCAUGUUUCUACUAACAAACCCAGCACCAAAAACGGAGCUUUUAAUAGAAAUUCGAUCCAGCGAGCUUUUUUUCGUAAACGUAGGCUUUAAGGAGCCUCUGUCAAAAAUUUUUAAUGUGGGUUGGUGCAGAAUGUUGGCUGUUGUUGACAUUUUGGUUCAGCGGUUGCACGAACAUAGAACACGGAAACAGAUUUACCCCGCCAGCCAUUUGUACUGUCUUAAUUGUUUUGCAUUUGUUUCAGUCGAUGCGUUUGCGUGAAACUUCGAAUUGUGAAAAUAAUAAUAAUAAUAAUAAUAAUGUGCAGCUGGCUGGCUGCCUCUUUUAUUUGUUUUUUUUUUUAAGAGAUUGUUAAAUAAAGAAAUAAUUGAUUCGGAUUAAUCCAAAUGGGGAAUCUUCAGUUUGAUCCCUAAUUUUAUGGUUCCGAUUCGCUCUGGAGAAGUAAAGAGUCUGAUCGUCCACGUGGAACGAUCAUGCAUAAACGGCUGAACUUGUGUUUCACCAACGCAUACGUGCUCUUCUAAGUCUUUUUUUUUUUUUUGGAAAAAGGACACAGACACCCCAACGUUUAAAAAAAAGACACAAAAUUCUUUAAUAUUUAAAAAAAGACAUACAGACCCUAAUUUCUUAACGGAAACAGUUUCGUUAAAUCAGUCAAAGGUUAAUAUCGUAAUUGCACAUUAACAACAAAUGAAUUGACCAAAAACCGACACACGAACAAAACGCUUAACACACGCACUAACACUGCUCCUUCCAGAUCUUGACAAAAUCCUUAACAGACACACUCACACGGUUCGCCGGAAACUGCUGGAAUUGCUGAGGUUGCCGGAAGUUGCUGGAACUGCUAGGGCUGCCGCAAGUCGCUGGAACUGCUAGGGCCGCCGCAAGUCGCUGGAUCUGCUCGCGCUGCCGCAAGUUGCUGGAUCUGCUCGCGUUGCCGCUGCGUUGAUCGAGACCGCAUCUGGCUGCUGCUCGUUCGUGUGGCUGCUGCUCGUGCGUGGUUGCUGCUCGUUCGCGUGGUUGCUGCUCAUGCAUCUUCAAUCCACAGUUCACUUAUCUUAAACUAGCUUUUCCCUCUUUAAUUUUCUUUUUUUUUACUAAAUUAACUUUAUUUCUUUUUAUUAUCAUUCCAAAUCCACUAGAAUUUUUGAGAAUUUUUGGACAAUUAAUUAAUUUUGGAGAAUUUUAGACAAUUAAUUUCACUGAAGAAGUGAGCUUACCAUGGGCAUAAUGCAAAAAAAGCUUGUACUGGUUUAUUGGAGAUUUAUUGUGCUUAAUUUAUCAAUGAAAAGCUUGUACUGGUUUGCAUAUGGUAACAAAUAAAAGUAGGCAAUACUACAACGACGUCCCAACAAGCUAUGAGAGGAAGUUCACAAGCUAGGAGCCAGAGUUGUCAUACAAAUUUGUGAAUGAAUAAUGUUUUUUUUUUCAAAAAAAUAUUAUGGUUAUUGUUGUAAUGAUUACCAGUAUCAAUUUGAUACAAUAUUAUGAUAUAAGGAUUAUUUGUUAUGUUUAUUGGUGGUUUUUUAUAUCUAUUCGAUAUGUUAUUUAGUACAAUUAAGAUGUUGUUAACCAGUUUUUUUUUUUAAUUUUGUUGAUUAUACUAGUUUAAAUGAUUGACAUAUGAAGAAUUGUUAUUUUUAUAGUAUUAAUAAUUAAUUUUAUUUAUUUUUAUUCUUGAAUAAUGGAUUAAAAUUAUUUAGCUUGUAGAGAAUUUGAAAAAAAAUUAUUAAUAAUUUUAUUAUAAAAAAUUUAAUAGAGAAAUUGGAUAACAAGGGUAUAUUCGUAAUUUUAUUAAUAAUAUAUGGGUAAAAUAGACAAUGAAAAUUUUUUUUUAAUGCUAGAAGGAUAUAACGGUAAUUACACGUUAAAUUUAUAAUUUCCGUUAAAACUAACGGUUUCCGUUAAGAAGUUGGGGUCUGUAUGUCUUUUUUCAAACAUUAGAGAGUUUUGUGUCCCUUUACUAAACGUUGGGGGUGUCUGUGUCCUUUUCCUUUUUUUUUUUAAACUGAUGUUACGUAAGGUAUUUAUGACAGCUAACAGCUUCUAUUUUAGUAGAUAAUUACUGAUAUUUAUAAUAAGAUGAAUAAAUGACACUACAAUUUUAUAUUAAAUUUUAUAAAUUACUUGUUUAGACAAAUAAUUCACAUAAGUAUUUGAACAAUGUCUAUUUUACUCACAUUUUGUAAGAGAGAAAGACUAUAAAUUGACUUCACUCAAUCAUGUUUAAUUGAGAGAGGAUUUUAGUUCAUAAAAACUUGAAUUACUGUGCAUCGCUCUUUAAAUUUGUAAAAACCAUGAAGAGUUAAGCUAUUUAAACUUGAUAAAUUUUCCUUUACUUCCAUUUUAAAAAAGUAAAUUUAUUAUCAAAAAUUUAAAAUUUAAAAAUCUGAAAAAUACUCUUUACUAAUCUAUUUCUCUCUCUUUUACAAUUGUAUAUUCUCUCUCUCCUCUGUUAUUCUACAAACUAAAUACUUAAUUUCACUCUCUUUUGAAUUUUUAUUUUUACUUUUCUUAAUAUAUCAUGAUCUAUAUUUCAUACUUUUUAUUUAUAAGAGUUUUUUUUUCUUGAUAUUCAUUAGCUUUUUUUUCUUAAUAUUCAUUAGCUUUUGUAUUUAGUAAAAAAUAAUUUCUUGAUAUUCAUUACUUUUCAUGGAUGACAAAAUUUUGUUAAGGUUCAUUUUUUUAAUAGUGGAUUUUAUUCUUUUUAAUUAAUGAUAACAUUGUUUUGCAUAUAAAAAAAUAUGAAUAAAUUGAUUUGAAUUUGUGAAAUUGAGAAGAGAAAGAAAAGAAAGGGUUAAUUAAAUUAUUUUUAGAUAAAAAAAUUCUUAAUUAAAAAAGAUGUAGAGAAAAAUUUGAUAGGUUCAAACUAGGGACGGCAAAAAGCUCAGGCCGGCCCAACCUAUUCCCACUGGUUUUGGCCUAAGUUUCGUACAUGAGGGCCUAGAAAAGAGUUUAGAAAGAAAAAAAAAAAAAUCUAGGCCAAACCCAAGCACUUUAUUUUCGAGUUGGCAAUUGGUGAGGUGUAUAUAUGUUAAGCAUACGAAUGGCCUGCUAAAUUCAUUCUACUUUUAAAGUAGUUGACGCUCUUUCACCAACAGACCAACUCCUUUUUUGUUUUUUUUUUCAUUUUUUUUAAAUUGUCAAAUUGUCUAGUUUGAUUGAGGACAAAGACAUCUCUAAGUAACAGUAACUAUGGUAUUUAAUUUAAGUUUUUUAUUGUACUUGGCCAGUUGCAUUGGGGCAUCAAACUAUUCAAGCGGGGCCAGAUCCUUUGUACCAUUCAUUUUUUGGGCCAUUAUAAGUGGGCUCUCUUCAUAAGGGUCAGGUCCAAAACUCUGUCGUUUUAAAAUUAAAAAGGGCUGCAAUUUCAAGGAGUGUUAGCCUACUGGCACCACCCUCCAAUCUCCUCAUAAAACCUUUUUUUAAUUAUUUUUAUUUUAAUUUCAAAAACGUUAUUUUUAAAUUUAAUUUUCUUAUUCUUAAAUUUCAAAGUAGUAUUUUUUUUUUGCAAUUUUUUUAUUAUCCUACAAAUAAAUUAAAAUAUUUUUUGGGUAAUGGAUUUUUUAAUAUCAAUUAUUAAGUUAAAUAACACAUCUUUUAAAUUGUACUUAAAAGCAAUCUUAAAUAUAAAAAGUCUUAAUCAGUAAAAAGUAGGAAAAGAACAAUAGAUUAUUACUAAAUUUUUACAAUCUAUUUUACAAGAAGGAAGUGAUGUAGAAAAUAAAAAGGAAAAAUAUAGAUUGAUUAUAAAUAAAAGUAAUCCGUUCAACAAAUUUAUAAAUGUGUUUAAUUUUUAUUUAUCUUUAAAUGUAAUUUUAUCUAAAGUGGGAUUUUAUAAGGAUAAUCAAGGGGUGCAAAUAGGUUCACUCUUUUAGGAAUGCGCGAGUUAACUGCCCAGGAGAGAUUACCUUCAAAUCUAUUGUUUCCUGAAAUUUUGAAUGCCUUUUAAGAUAUGAACAUGACAAAACAAUAAAACUAUACGCAGUCUUUGUACUUGAUAGCUUUUUAACUAAGUACAAAAAUAUGGAAUAAUUGAAGAUUGCGAAUGCCCUUUCGUUCGCAUCGUUCAAAACAAUUACAAAUUAAUAGAAGAAAAAUUAUUCACCGACUACUUGAUUUUUUAUAUUUUAUUAAAAAUAUAAUUUUUUUUCUGACAAGAAUCGAUAUGAAAAGUUAUCAUUGUUCCACUCUUAUCAUAACCUUAUUAGAAUCCUGUUGACAUCAAAGAGUUAAAUUUGUCAUUUAAACUAAACAACUGCUGGUGCGUUCUUGCUAUCCCAAAUACCCAAAUUGAACCCAAGAAAAAAGAUAAAACUACAAAACAAAACCAAAUCAAAAUUUCAAAAACCCAAAUCAUGUCGUGGAUAAUAUUUGAAGGAUUAUUGCCCUUGUCAUCAUAGCAAAAAUGCCAUCAAUUGCAGGAAUUGCUCAAUAUCACAUUCACAAAGCCACUCGUGGCCCCCAAAGCGUGUCGGUAAUAAUAUGUGGGAUGUGGGUAUGGAGAAAAGGGACAAGAAGCUUAUCAAACAACUCUUCAACACUUCCUCCGAUUAGAAGUUGACUCGCCUUUCUGCAAGCUUUGCCAAUGGACUGAAUAAAGUGCUCAAAAGCUAUUUUAGCUUUGCUUAUCAAGACUCAAGUAAAUGCAAUAUGUUCACUUUCUGAUCUUUUGUACAUGAAUCUACUUAAGCUUUUAAAUUGUUUUCUAGAAAAAAAUACUCUAUCCAACUAUGAAUUUAGGAAAUUGAUUAAGGCUAACAAGUGUAGUGAAGAGAUCGCAACAACGGCUACAAACGAUUUAGGUGGGGAAGAAGAAGGUGUUUUAGGGUUGUUUAGUUGUUCUUAACAUUUGUGAUCUAAUUUAUUUAUUAUUUAUUUUAAAGAUUUUUUGUUUGAUAAUUAUUUAUUUUUAUAUGGAACUUCUAUUAUCUAAUUUAGUUAUUUUAAGGAUUUUUAUUUGAUAAUUAUUUAUUAUUUUAAGGUUUUUUUUGUAAUUACCCCUCUCUGACUAAAAAGUCAUGUUUUUAGCUUGGAUAAAAUAGUCAUUUUAGGUUUUGCGAGCAAAAUAGUUAUUUGACCAAUAUUCUAUUAAAUACCCUAACGGUGUUAUAACAAGAGUGGAGCAGUGAUACACUUUGUAGAGUUGGGGUGGAUUGUUGCCAAAAUAUAUAUAUAUAUAUAUAUUUGUGUAUUUUUAAUAAAAUGUGAAAAAUCAGAUAAUUGGUGGAUAAUUUUCCUUAAUCGAAUUGUCAAUGAUGUGAGAAUAGGCCUUGAUGACUUAUUUUAUGAAAAAGAACAUUGAGGUGCAUUUGCCGUUUGAUAUCCUUUUUAAAAUGGAGUUUUGGUAAAUAAUAAUUGAGAAUGAUAAAGAUGUUUUUAAUAAUGGUAUUUUGUUAGAAUGAAAUUGCCUUUGGUGUCAUUUUAGAAAUAACAUUUUCUCGAAUAAUCUAUGAGAAUUAUGGGUGGAUACGGCUCGGUCCGGAUUGAAAUUAAGCAGAACCGAUUUAAAUCGGUUAUUUUAUAAAAAGAACAAAAUAAGAACUGAACUCAAUAAAAACCGAACAUAAACGGAUCUUUUUGAAUCGGUUCGGUUCGGUUUUUUCAGUUUUGGGCCUGUUGGGCCUAUUUUGAAUUUUUAAAUUUUUAGCCCAUUAGGCCUCAUGAAUGUAAUAAUUUUUUUCAACAAUUAAUUUAUCCUAAUUUCAUUACAAAUAUUAACAAUAAAUAUAAAGUAUUCAAAACACAUUUUAUCACUAAUAUCUUACUAAUUACUAAUAAGGUAUUUACAAAAUAUUUUAGUUAUCUUACGCAACCAAUUAAAAUUUAACACGUUUCUAUUUAAAUAAAAUUUCAAUAAUAACUCAAUUUUUCAGUUCAAUUUUUUUUUUACAAACUAUAUAUUUCGGUUAUUUUUUAAAAUUAAAAUCAAUUCAAACGGAACGGUUCGGUUCGGUUCGAUUUUUACUAGUGCACGGUUUUUUGGCCCACCUCUAAUGAGAAUAGAGGUGGAGGAAGAUCUUUUAAAAGAGUUUAGAAGUAUUCUAGCCAAAGCUCUAGUAGUCUAGUGUGUUGAGUGCAUAUCUAGUGCAGGUAUCUUUUGCGGAAUGCGCAAUGAUUUUCCUCUCGUUCCUCAGUUAGAUUUUUAAACUCGUCCAAUUAUGUAUUAUAUAUAAUGUUUAAUGCUUGAAAAUCAUCAGUUUAAUGUUUAAUGCUUUCAUGUGCACUGUUGUGAACUUAUGUGUACUACUUAUCAAGUUGAAAAUCAGUUUUCUACCAGCAAUAAGUUGAAAGUCAGUUUUCUACCAACAGCACUUGAAUCACUUUAGCCGACAAGGCGAGUCCACCAUGUCAGCUUUCAAGACAUUUUUUUUCUCUCUUCUUGAGGCUUUAGAGAUAAUGGCCAUACGCUUAGCUUUCAUGCAUGAUUGAAACAGUGGUCCUGCAAAGAGAAACAAAGAAUUAUAUAUCGUAUAUGUAUGCCAGCGCACAUAGAAUUUACGUGGCUUCAUAUUGGCGAGGCCCCAUGAAUCUUUUAUUCUUUGAAAUUAAAGCCUUACUGCACAGGAGACGAAAUUAAAUUCAAGCAGAUCUGCUCCGUAAUGAAAUAGUGUAAUUCCUAAAUUAAAUUGGCGCAGUUUUGAUUACCAAAAUGCCCAUUUCACGUCUAAUUGUGCAACAGUUCAAUGAUAUCUCGAUCGAUUAGAAUUUGUUCAUUUAAGAAUUACGAGAGAAGGGAUGGUUCAAUACAAAUAAUUAAAUGGCACAAAGAUCAAAGCCAAAAAAGAGCGAAAGUUAAUACGGAUAUGAAGAUUGAAGAAAGAAGGGCCGCCGGGGGGCCAAGUAAGAAGUCAAGAGAGCUACGACGCGUGUAGUGAGGGGACGUGAUGAGAUGACGAAAAAUAACAGCACUUAAAGAGAGUGUGCGUGAGUGUGUGCAUCGAUCCGUCUCGGUCAACCGUCAAGUUCUCAAUCCCAAGUGCUGAGAUAAAACAGAAGACUGUUUGGACAGCAAUGAGCAUAGGGUCACUGUUUCGUCAUGUCGGGGUUUUAUCAUCCUCAUGUUUAAUUACAUAUUUUACUACUCUUCAGCCUUCGCUGGAGCUGUUGUAGUGCAGCAAACUCCUGUCUUAAUCAACAUUGAAUUGAAGAACCCCUGUUAUUACUGUCUAUUGGCCAUUGCUCUGGUAGUAACUACAAGCUAGUGAAAAACUUUAGAAUAGCUCUUACUAUUAAUUUAAUUGAUGCUUCCAUGAUAUGAUGUCUAAUAAGUUUAAUAUAACCAUUAUUUGUAUGAUAAUAUAUUAAAAUAAAUAUACACAUAUUAUAAUAUUAUUUAUUUAUUAUAUGAUUAACAUAAUACCUCUUAUAUAUUUUAAAAUUUCUCAAAGCUAACAAUCCAUAUGUUUAUGUGUUUUGUUAGCUUAAGUCAAUUUAAAAUCACUUUUUUAUGAAUAAAUUAUUUUUUAUUAAAUAAUUAAAUGGUAAUAAAAAAAAUUAUUUUUAGAUCAACUAUAAAUGACAUAUAAUGUAAAACUUAGCAAUGCAACUGCCAUACAUAUAUACAUACAUACGUACGUACAUACAUAUAUAUACACAGGGGUGGACGCCAUGUAAGACUAAAGGGUGCCAUGGCCCCCCCGGAUUUUAAAAUAUUUUGAGAUUUUUGAAUAAAAUAUGAAUAAUUCACACACUGAUCCCUGUACAAUUAAGUUUGGCCCCCCUUAAAUUUCCUCCUGAGAUCUACCCCUGUAUAUACAUACUCAAAUAGUUAAUUUACUGGCCUGCCGAUAUAUUAUAUGUGAACCAGCUUUACAUGAUUCAUGCACGAAAGAUAUAGACUAGCGAGACUCAUAAUUUUUGUAUGAUCUCUUGAAUUAUCAGCGUUCUAUUAUCCAUGGGCUAUGGCCUUUUGUAUCACAUACGCAAUGAAGCUAAAUUAUUGAGAUGUAAGAACUAAGAACGAAUGCAAAGGAUAGAAUAUCUGAAUUCUUUCUUUUCGACGGUAUAUCAGUAUGAGCUAGCUCAUCUGUGAUAGCCAUUUUACUUUCUGGUUAAAGAACUUAGUGCACGUCAUUUCCUAAUCAAUUUUCUAACUAUUUUACUCUGGGAAUGGUAGUACUUGAGAUUUGGCUUUGAAAAUCUCAUAUCUUUGGAGUGCAAUAGACGCAGAAGCUGUACAUGCAAAUGCAAUUGCAUAUUGAUGUGGGGGCCUCGCCUGGCAGUCCAAAUCUCCAACUUACAAUAUAAUAAUAAACAAACAUUAUUAACAUUAGUAAAAAAAAAGCCUUGCCAGAAUAUUAGGUAGAAAUUUGACAAAAUUAGAGGAGCCAGCCGUCCCACUCCCAGGUCCCAGCUUGCUAGCUACCGACCUAGUUUUUAAAUAUGAAUGUUACAAAGUACUCACUUUCAGCAAUAACUCAUUGCACUAUAGUUUUUUUUCUUUGUUUUUUUUUUUCAAUUUUUUCAAUUCGAUAUGCAAACAUUAGGACAUUUAGCAUGCCGUUUUAUUAUUAUUAUUAUUAUUAUUAUUAUUAUUAUUUAUUAUAUGAGACUAUUGCUUAAAGUAUAACUCAUAUUACAUGAGAUCAUAACUGAUAUUUACAAAUCAAAUUAUUAUUGAGACCAACUUACAUCAAUACUUAUGAAACUCCGUUUAAAUUUUUAACCCUCACUAAUAUUCAAGAAAUAUUAACUCUACUCACACUUAAAGAGAGAAGAAUACCUUCACUCAUUUUAUUAUUAUUUAAAGCAAUUGCAUGAUUAGCCAAAAAUAAAUAAAUAUUGACACAUUGAUUAUAUGUUUUAAGGUAAAAGGAGAAUGAGGUUGAGGUUGAGGUUGAGCAAUGGGCAACUACGUUGCCUUUCAAAAAGAGGAUUCAAAUUGAAAAUAUUAAAGCCGCUGGCGUGUCUGACAAUCACAUCUGGGUAGCUCUGGUUUUGAACAGUUUUUCUUUAAUGCAAAAAUCUAUCACCUCGACCGAUACCUAACCUGAAGGGAGGGAAACAGAAGACCAUUUGUACCAAAAAGCUCGCUUCGCUUUGAACAGUGACCGUGAGGUUGGGGAAUCCAAUUCAAGGUCACGUGCCCGUAGCCCUCCUGACUUGCUGCAAAAUGUGCAAUUUGAGUUUCGACUCUGGUCCCCGGCUCCGUUGCGAUGCCCGCCCGCUAACCCAACCUUCCCUCUCAAAUGUUCAUUUUUUAGAAACGCAUAAUUUGCUGCUUAUAAUAUAACAAUAUAUUAGGCCGAUGCGCAGCAAUUAUUACAUUGAAACUUUUAUUCGGAAAAAAUAUAAAGCAAAAAGAGAGGGAAUGGGGGGCCACCUUGUUCAUAUCAUAGCCCCCGGCCCGCCCCCGUCGAUCGUCUCUAUCUCAUUUUUUCAAUUUCAAUCCUAAAGAAAACGACAUCGAUCAACAAAAUCUAAUAAAUAUGAAAAUGAAAGUUAUCAUUACUCUUUCCCUGUCCCCUGGCUUUCUAAUCAUCGUUCUUAAGUACAGAGUCAGACAAGAAUAAUGAAAUUUAGCACUUUCAAUGUUGCAAUUUCGCUACGCUGUAAUAAUAACGAAGGCGGUUUUUGUUUGAUGUCUCGCCUCGCGCCUCACAUCACGUGAAAGUGUGCAAGCGCCCAACUUCAUCGUAGGAUCCUAUUCAUAUGAUCUCAUCUAAUCUUUUAGAGAUUUUGUACAAUAUUUAUUUUAGCGACGGUUUAAUUAUAUAUGAUUAAGAUUUAAUUAUCUUUAUUUUUUAAUUUAUUAAUAUCUAAUCACGUUAAUAAGAUCUGUGAAAAAAAAAACACAGAUCAAAAGAGAAUCCUAAUCCAAGUCAUAUUGUAUAUAUCACACACUAUUAUGCACUCUCAAUUUACUCCCAUCAUCUCAUCGGCUAAAACAAUUAAUCAUCGUAUACACACACACACACGUUUGUCCUAAUUUUCGUCCUUUAGUCAUUAUUUUACUUCAGAGACAAUCAUUAUGAAAAUGUAGUCAUUAUUUUCAGUGCAAUGAGAUUACAUCCUCAUACGAAUUAUUCAAACUGCAAUUUUGUUCUUUGGCAAUUCCUUUUUCAAUUUAUAAAGUUGAUUAUUGGACAAGUUAUUGGUCUCGUGUCAAUAGUUUCAAAAUAUAUUUUACAUGUCGCUUAUAUAUUAGUGUAUAUCAUAUAUCUCAUGUAGUGGUUAGGAAAAAUUCUUAAAUAUUCUCGGUGCAUACAUUAAUUCUAAUUUCUACACACAUGACAAUAAUACAAGAAAUAAGAAUAACAUAUAAUAAAAAUUACCUAAGAUAGUGGAUGAGAAUUCUUUUAUGAGCAAAAUAUAGGUGCAUGUGUUACGGUAUAGAUGGUGGUUAAUAGAUAAAAAUAUAAUAAUAAUUAAAUUUCAAUCAUAUAAAAUCACAAAAUAUAAAUAAUUUCAUGAGAGAAUUCUCACUUAUAAUUAAUACAAGGUUUUGUAUAAAAUGCUUGUAUAUGUCCUCCAUGAGCUUGUUAGAGAAAAUUUUUGUUAACUACAUAUGUAUUUUGAAUUAAACCAAUCACCAAAAUGAAAAAAGAACAAACAAAUAAAAAUAAAAAAUCUAAAGACAAGGCAAAUUGAGUGAUUUGAUUGGGUAGUCCCAAUAAGAUAAUCGUGAAAUGAAAGAAUGUUCAAUAUUUGUAAGAAUAAAAAUAUUGUAAUAGUUAAUUAUUGGAUAAGAAUAAUAUAUAACUAAGGGCCAGUUUGGGAAUGCUGUAGCUUUUAAAAUAAUUGCUGUUAGCUGUGCUGUAGAAAUAAUCAGCUGUGAAGAGAAUCAGUUAAGUGUUUGGUAAAUUUUGUUUCAAGAAGUACUGCGAGUUUUUAAAGCAGUUAUGGACGUUUGAUAAAUUUUACUGUUAAACUGCUGAGAGAAAAUAAAUGACUAAAAUAUCCAUAAUAUAAGAUAAAAUUUAUUUAUAUAUAUAAAAACAUGUACAUAUAAUAUUUUUAAUUGUCUAUUAUAAUAAUUUUUACUAAAAAUAAAAUUUAUAAUAUAUUUAUUUUAUUUUUUUUCUUAAAACAAUUGAUAAUUAAAUUAAUAAUAUAGUGAAAUAAAUUUAAUAAUAAUUCGACCAAUAAAUUGAUAUUAAUAAAUUUAUAUUUAUGAAUUAUAAUACAAAUUUUUUUAUAAAUUAUUUUGUUUCCAAUUUGAAUAAGGAUAAUUUUGGAUUUAAGUAAUAAUUUUAAGGAUAUUUAUGGAAUUGUAUUAAAUGAUAAAAUUGAUUUUCAAAAUCAGAAUCUAAAAGCUACUCCUUCCCGGCUUUUCAAAAUCAGCUGUAGGAGAAGCUGAUUUUGACAAAAGUGAUUUUGAUUUUUUUUUACCAAACACUAAAACUAGCUUUUAGAUUUUCAAAAUCACUUUUAGGUCUCUUAAAAGCAAUCCCAAACGGGCCCUAAAUCUAAUUGGUGGAUUGCUUGUGUGAUAACAAAUUAUAAAAAGAUCGACAUGGUUUAACUUAACACUGUAUCCAAAUUCUAUAGAAAUAUAAACAGAGUCACUACCUUAAUAUGGUAUGGUAUGACUCAAAGAUUAUAAGGAAUAAUUAAAUUCAAGUUAAUUUAAAAAAAAAACGAUUAAAGAAGAGUAAAGAAUGUUUUAAAAUUUACUGCGUCUAUAAGAGGCAAAGAUCUGUCCCCAGAAACAUUUCAGCUGUGUGAAGUUGGGAGAGAGAGAGAGAGAGAGAGAGAGGGAGAACUUAAAAACCUUUGGGUGCAUUUUUCUCUAGUUAUCAGUUAUCAGCCACUAGUGUGUCUCACCUUGACGCACUCUGAGUGAAAAAUGGAUAUAUUCAACAACGAUUACAACAACGUGGAGGCGGAGGAAGGCAACGCUAUAGCGUUAGCACGAGAUAAUGAUCGGGUCCGAAGCAUGGGGAAGGCUUUCCGAACAAUCGAGCUCUGCAUCGCUCUCUUUUUCCUCUUGUGGAUGCUGCUUCGCCUCCCUUUCGCCAUCAAAAUCUUCGCCGAGUUACUCCGUCAACUUGUUUUCCUCCUCCUCACGCCUCUUAGCAUUCUCCUGCUCUUCGGCGUUACUGUCACCGCUGUCAUGGUCAAUUCUUACAAAGUCUCCACCCAAAACAUCUCCGACCAGGAAAACGUUGGAAUCAAUUUCUGUCAAAACAUCAUUAACGUGGGCGACCUUCAGGAAACGGUCGAGUUCCACUUCCACCACCACCAGCUGGAAGUUGAAGCUCCGUACGGUUUUGAAGUUGAGAACACGCCACGAUUGUCCGAGGAGCAGCAAGUGGAUGAGGAAACUACGACUGUGUACGAGGACAAGGAGAUGAUCAGCUGUGGCCGUGAUCGUGCAGUAAGAACCCCCACUACUGCCGCGUUUGAAGAUGAUGUCGCUGAUGACGUGGAAAUGGACGUGGAUUCGGAUCCGGAACCGGAAGUAGUGAACCAGACGGAGGCAGAGACAGUAAUGGAGAAGAGCAUCACGAUAUCCGACGGCGACGACGUCGUUUUACAGAUGAAACGACGAUGUUCGAGUCCAAGAGAUCAUUUGAACGACGCUGAUUUUAAGAAGACUAUCGACGCCUUCAUUAAAAGGCAGCAUGAAUUUCUUAAGUUGGAGAAUCGUUGCGAUUAUUCUGCGGAGAAGCGUACGUGUAUUAAUUGCUCUUAGCUCUCUCUCUCUCUCUCUCUCUCUCUCUCUAUCUAUAUAGAGCUUGCCCACUCUAUCCUUAUUAAAUUACAAGGUCUAAGAAGAAGAACAUCAUAAUAAUUAACUUAAUUACUUCUCCAGCAUCGUGCGCUGUCCUAUCCCGUGAUGUUUUAAUUUUCUUUUUCAUCUGUUGUAAAUGUUCGUGUAAAAUCAAGGCCCUGUCAUGGCGCUAGCUAGCUGUUCUGUAUUUCUAGUGUAUUAUCUCACUCUUUUGAGUGUUUCUUUUCUUUUUAUUUAAUGUGUAUGAGUACGUGUUUUAUUAGUUACGAUCAGCUGUAUUUAGUUAUGAAUAUGUUUUAAACUAAAGAAGAAUAUACAUGCAUGUAGCUACUAUAUAUACGCAUAUAUAUUUUGGGGGGAAAACAAUUCGGGUUUUUGUGGGUUCUAAAUUAAAAAUGACAAAUAAAAUGUGGAUGGUGGUGUUCUUGUUAUAAAAAUGAUGGCAAUAAUCAUGAUUAUGGAACUUCCAAUUAAGAAGCAUGUGUGGGUGAACCGUCAUCAAGGCGGCAAGCUUUCAUAGCCCAUGAGUGAUGAAGCUGCUUUUUAUCAUUUUCUAAUUAAUAACAUACUUGAAUUCUGUCACGGAAAAGAGAUUAUUCGUAGAAAGCUCUACAGUGUCAGUUGUUGGAAUGAUAGAUAAAUUAAAAACGCACACCGGGUUUUUCUUGAUGGUGCCCAUGACCGUGAGCAUAAUGUCCCCACUCGGAUCAUACUUAAGCUUUUUGUUAAUUUCUAGUGCAUAAUUAAUAGCACCAAUCAUCCUACAAUAAUAAAAAUGUACUUAACUUUCACUAUCCCCCUACAAUCUCUCUAGUAAAAGUCACUUUUAUUUUUCGAUCAAGAGAUUAGAUUCUUUAUAUAGCCAAAUUAAUUAUAUUGCUUGUUAAUUGUUUUGGCCUAACUUUAUUAUUUGUUGCUUCUUUUAUCUUCACUUUAAUCUGGGCAGUCAUGAUUAAUUCCACCGAAAAUGACUAUUUGGGCGGUUCAGUUAGUCAUCUAAUAACAUAUUUAAAUGUAAUUUAAACCCAACUUUUGCACUCAAUAAUGGCCUUUUUCAGAGACAUGUAAUGAACCUACAUACUUUUGACCUUUUCUUCUUUCCUCAAAAUUCUUUUUGUGCUUCUUUAGUGGUUCUUUAUUUGAAGAUGGUAUGGUUAUUUAGGCGAGUAGUAAUGGAGAUUAUAGUGGUGGUUACCAAGGGACACUGCCUUUUAAUUAAGAGGAAAUGCACAUUAUAUAUGUAGGAUUUCAUUUCUGUCCUCAACUUGCUGUUAUCCAUUUGAUGUUAACCAAAAGAGAACUUUUGUUAGACAUUUUCGUUUGUGUUUACCUCAAGAUGAACAUCUUUGUCCAUUGCACCGCACUAUUGAACUAACAUUCUUCCAUAAAUCUAUACUAGGCAAAUUCCUUGCCACUAGACUCACUCAAAAAUCACUCUUUUAAUGGGAUUUUUAACAGUUACUAGUCAAUAUAUAUAUAUAUAUAAGAAAAGCUAGAUUGGAACCAUGUUCACAGAACUGAGCAUCCACUAGACUCUAGAGAAUCAACAUUAUCAUCCGAGAGGGACCUGCUCUUAAUAAGAAUGUGCUUUCCUAUUCCUAGCUGCUAUCUAACUAGUUUUACAUGCCAUAUUUAUCAUCUUAAAUCAAUUAAGGUACUCUACAUACAAUAUAAGAAGUGCCUUGUUCAUGUGCUCCAUAUUCUCCAAGCUUUUCUUUCACCCUAUAACAAACAAAAUGGUUUACAGACUCGGUAGCUGAUAUUUUACAGAAUUUUGGCAUAAAAAUAAAGUUCCUGAGAUGGGCCAUCAAUAUAGUGAUCAAACGGAGCAGCAUCUGCACUUAUUCUUCUAUAAGAAAAGAACCAGCAGUAUCUUCAAAUCUGGUACUUAGGUUUCUGCUAUUGGGUCCUAAACUAAUAAACCAAGAUGGAUCCAGUUCUGAAGUAACUGGCCUCCUUUGUAUUGGGUUUGUUUGGUUUCGUAGGAUUUAUGCAACUCUCAAAUGACUCCACCCAUUGUGUUGGAGAACUAAUGCCAUGUAAAACUCUGCCUUUUCAUCAUGACAACAAUGGAAUUAUCUCUGUAUCACAUUAUUUCAUGUACCCUUUACCCUAAUUGUUAUAAACAACAUACUUUCAUCUUUUAACUCCUUGUAGCCAAAUUCAUGACCAACUCGGGACUAGAUAAAGCUUUGGGUUCACAUGCCCACCGAAUUGAGAAAUACAAUCGUGGGAAAGAAAUUGACUGAUUUAUAUCACAACCAUUACAAAUCAACUUGAUCUGAAAAAGCUUUGGAAUAAAGGGUCUAUGUUUGCUUACAUCAAGUGCAUCGGCAUUCCCAAAUACUUUUUGUGAGGACGAGAACCAAGUUACAAUACAUACAACGACACGUGUCUAGCAAAUAUCUUACACAUGAACCAUCUAUGGGGCCUAUGUAAAUUAGUACAAUAUUGAGUAGUGACAGAAGAGAAAUAAUGGAAGAGGAAUCCCAUUAUAGUAUAGUGGCAGUUCAAAUGAUCAAUAAAUGGAGUUCCUGUCCAAUUUGUUAGUCAGGACUCAGGAACGAGGAUGUACUAAAUUAUAGCUGAUGGGCAGAAUUAGUUGGAUUAGAUUAGAACUAAAUUAUUAUGGUGUUUAUAUAAACCCUCAAAGGCUACGGAACUUCAAAUGAUAACGAUGUGCAACACUCUUUAAAAAGAGGAAAAAUGAGGCUUUAACUUUGACAUAAUCACAUAUUUACCACAAAGAAUGGGCUACAGCAGUGUAGGAGCACAAUCAUUUGUAAAAACCAGGCCAAAGAAAAAAAAAAGAACUUUAACAGCUUGCAGUGCAUAGAUAGACAACUUAGCUGUUAGCUAACAGAGUUGGAAAAUUGACAAGUUCAACUUCUUAUUGUUUUUUAGGCUCUGUUCGUGGGCGGGUCCAUUCGACAUUAUUUGGUGCUCUUCAUUGUUUGUUAUUGCUCAACGGUAAUGUUUCUUUCGGUGGCUCUUUCCUUUUUCUCUGAUGAAUUGCUUGUGCUCGAUUUUACUUUAAUCCUUUCUUAUAUAAUUCUCCAUUGAUUCACUACGAUCAAUGUGUCAUCGUGACAGACUGCUAUAUUGGAAUUCAAUCUUGUUCUUUUCUUUACUCUGCAUCCUUAAGCUGAAUGCAUGGAUAUCAGCAGCACAUGGGUUCUGCUGAUUAGCAAAUGCCAAAAUGAUAUAAAUAAACUGUCACGAUGAUGAUAUUUUCUGCUAUUUCUUUUGCAAGGAUUAGGAAAUUGCUUUGAUCUCUUUUUAUGAUUAUUCUGAUUCAUUGUGUGGUAACAUGUCAUCUAUGGUUGCUUAAUUAUCUAGGUCUUAAUUACCUUAUAAAAUUCUGUGGCAAAUUGAUUCGCAUUCACCGCAUUAACUGGCUGCGUAUGUGGUCCAUGCAAUUAAGUUCAUGCCCUGUUUUUAAAUGUUAAAAUUGCCCGCUUUGUUGUUGGGCCUGUUAUGUGCAUUGCGUGAAUAGAUUUUGAUUGUCUUAUUCAAAAAUAAUGGUUACCAAAAAUAAAUAGAUGGGUAAAUUUCCUAAUAGAAAUGCUGUCUAACUUGAGUUUCUACAUGUGUUUCUAAAGAACGAUGAACAGAAUUUAUUUAAAAUUGAUGGGUAUGAAUUGGAAUUUAUACUAUAGAGUUCAAUAUAUUAGUCAAAGAAUUUAGAAAUUAUGAGGUCUGACAGGGUCGAAGCUGCCGGUGCUUCGUAAUUAACUUGUGUAGGAGAUCGAGCCAUUAGCUCUUCAGCAAUCACCAUCAUGUAUUAUAAAAAUCUUUUAUAAGCAAUCAUUUUCUAAAUGGGCCCCACGUUCUACAACAUACAUGUGCUUUAUUUAUCAAUUUGCCGUGUGAUUUGGACUAUCUUCUAACCUGAAUUUUUUCUAAUCUUUGUAGGAAAUUUUGACACAUGGCAUAUUAAGAAAUUCUUUUGUAAGCAAUUAGUUUCUAAACGCGGUCCACAUUCUACAAGAAACAUGUGCUUUAUUUGUCAAUUUGCCAUGUGAUUUGGAUCCUCUUCUAACCUAAUUUUUCUUAAUCUUUAUAAAAAAUUUUGACACAUGGCAUAUUAAGAAAUUCUAAGGUUAGAAUUUAACUUAUUAGACACCAAAAACAUAAUGUUUUUAAGACUCAUAGAAAUUGCUAACUAAAGGAAGUCAAUUCCAUGUCAAUAUCUUCUUUCUCCUCUUUCUUUCAUGUAAUAAUCUUUAAAAAAAUAACAAAAAAGGUUUCAGAAAAACUAAAGUUCAAUUUUUGCAUUGGGGUCGAAUUGUCGAUUAUGUACUUGUGUAGUUUGCUUCUACUCUGGUAUUGAUAAUCAUGUUCGUUGCCUUACAUUAUUAUGUUUUAUGCAACACAAACCAAAGUUCAAUUCACAUUCUUGAGACUUGAUACGGUUUUGAUCAACUUGCUAAAAGACAACAAUCAAGAUAACUUGCCAAAUUUUUUUAAGAGCUGGCUUAUCUAAUUUAUUGUUGAAUGUCAUAUAGGCCAACACAUUUAAAAUAACUCUUGAUAAUGAUUCAUAUCAAAUAAGGAUCUCCUAUCUUAAAAUUAAUGUAAGAUACAUCUCCUCACAUGAAUUGUUCAUGUGAGGAGAUGUAUCUUACAUUAAUUGUAAGAUAGAAAUUACCACCAAAUAAAGUUUCAAGACAUCAUUAAAAAGUUAGGUGACCCAAAAAUUGAAGCCUGAAGGGAAUAAUUCAAAUAACAGUACAUAGCUUUUAUUUUGGUACACACAAACCAAAGGGCCACAUACUAAUUCUUUCAUUCGAAGAGAAUACAGUAUUAAUGCCGACACUUGUUGAUACCAAAAUUUACUGACAUAUUCAAACCAACGAGUGAUAGAAUUAACUAUGAUAAUUAAACAUUCUAAAUAUUAUCCUGAAAUGUGCACCUCAAAUGAGUGAUGUAACAUUUAUUAAGUGGACGGUGAUGUUGAACAUUUUUUAAUACCCCAUUUUCCCAUCCACAAUAUUGAAGCACAUCAAUGAGGACGCAUCUUCUUGGGAUAAAUUAUUGGAAAGGCUAACAUGCCUCUCAAGUUUUAUUUCUUAAUAAUUGUCUUAUCUUAGUGAUCAUCCAAUUUUCGUCAAGGAAACUGUCACGUUGAUAAACUUAGUCUUUUCCUUAGACAUGCGAUCGGCAACAAUUUCCCUGUACCUUUUAAACAGCUCAUCAAUGAUUGAUUCACCAAACUGACUAACAAGCAAGGGCUCGGCCACAGCUCUCAUGCAAUUCGCAACGUUGUAUCCUCCAUCAUUAAAUGCAUCAACGGCCUCGUUAAACUUAAAACCAUUCUGAUAAGCGUUCCAGUUAACUUCAGAAACCUCAAGGUGAUCAAUGGUGAAGGAUCCUUCCUUUAUAACCUCCGAUUUUAUUUCAGCUGGUGAUGGUGUAUACUGCGGAAUGUUGAAACAAUUCACUUUCUCUUCUUCUAUGAGUCCCUGCAUAUUCAUCUCAGGAGGUUAGCUAGCUUGGCUGGUAUGGUAAACCUCUUAGAUUGGUACAACAAUCUGGGAUUCCAUAUACAUAUACAUACACAUAUAUAUAUGUGAUAUAUCCCGGCUAUAUGAAGCUCUAGAUCUCUGUGUUCAAGUGGUGCAAUGGCAUAUAUUAAAGAUCUUUUAGCUUGUAAUUUAAUUGAUUGAACACAAUUAACAGCAGAAAGGAUUUCGUUACCUCGGAGACCAUAUUGUUGAGAGCCGUGGCCAAGAGCUCCCAAAUGUAGCAGCACUCUUUGCUUGAGGGAUCUUGGCUUUUUCUUCCUAGAAAUGUUAAAACCAUGCGCCCUUCUGCCACCAAUUCCUCUGAGCGACACUUGAGAAACAAUGAAAAAUCUCUUUGAAAUUGCUCGUAAUAUGCCGUAAGCACGCAUGGCGGACUUGUACUGGCCAUGAAAAUGUUCCCUUUAUUGCUCUCCAGUCCAUCUGGAACCUAUAUAUUGAAAAAUUGAAAUUAUUUUACUUAAUUUAUGGUAAUCAACAUGGAGUGAUAUUAUUGUUGUUAUUAUUAUUAAAUACAAAAGUGAUUACUUGAGAUAGCCAUUGGAGACUAUAAGAAGAGUGGAAAAGAUGCACACUAUUGCGAGGGAAAAGCCUGCCAUAGAAAGAACCAGGGACCCCAGUGAAGAAGCACUGCCCAGCUGCCCCAGAGGCCGACCCUAAUUGCUUUCUCAGUAUCUUUUGGAAGCUUGCUAAAGACCUGAAUAUGGUGUUAAAGUCAUUCCCCGGAAGAUCGUUCAGGAACACUUGAAAUUCUGGUAAUUGACUGCCCAACUUAUCGCAGAUCUUGUUCACUACUUUGAUAAGUUCAGAUGCCACAAGCAAAGUGUUUGGUCCUGAAGAACAGCCCAAGUCGGCAAUUGCUACCUUUGUUGGGAACGUGCUGCAGAAGAGUUUGGUCAUGGCUUCCUCUGUGAUUGGCUUUGCAAUGGAUAUGACUUUUUUCUGUACAAACAUGAAACCAAUUAUUCAAUCGGUUGCUUGAUGCAUGUUGAUGUCCCUUCACCUUAAUUAAGUCAUUCUCAUCUAGUGAUUACUUACGAACACUUUUAGUUUAUGUGCAUGCUCUUGCAAAAGCUUUUUGCUAAGAAAAGACGUAAAUGUAUCGAUCUAUUGCUAUUGUAGCAUUAAGAUAUUUGUAAAUUCCUGUCAUAACUAACUGGGCAUGAAAAUUAUGUUGAUACGCUAAAAUUUAAAAUAGAUAUUCCCAGAUAGAUCCAGGUGUCGUAAUGUUAUUGGUAUUAUUUCCACCAAUAGAUUAUAAAAUUAUAACUAACGUACAUGAUGAAGCAACAGAUACAAAAAUAAAAUAGAGAAAAAUGCAUGAAACUAGUUAACUAAUGAAUGAAUCAAUUACCUGAACCAGUGAAUUACUGGCAUAACUUGCGUUUCCUACUCCUCCAUUCAUGUGAAGCACUUGAACCACCUCCAUCUCUCGCACAGUAUUCUUUGUUUCUCGCUCACUCGUUUGAUCUUAUUUUUGUUGAUUUCGUUGAAUGGCACCUUCUUGUAUUUAUAGGCAAGACACCGAGAGCUGGCCAUUCGGGAUAACAACAACUGUGCUUGUUCGUCGUCAUUUGGAUGUCGUAACGUGUGACCUAGCUAGGGCCGGGGCACAUUACGUAAGAAUGUAAGACGUAUUACAAUGUGACGCAUUUAUCUGCUGGGAUAUACAUAAUUACAAUAAUGAUAGAGCAACAACAGACAAAGUAAUAAUAUAUACAAUCAAUCUGUUCAUACCAUGUCGUAGCUCUAUUAUUAUUAUUAUUAUUUAUAUGAUCAAUAGUUUUUUGACAUGGUUUUGAGUCGAAUCUCGGUCACACGGUGAUGUGUAAUAAACAAACUAGAAAAUUAUGAAAUUUCUCUCAUUUUAUUACGUCCCCGUGUUUCACGAGUUAAUAGUGUCGUGGGAUUGUGGGAACUGGGAGGUUGGUUCUAACCAUAAUGGUUUCCACGUGUUUGGCCGGUGGGCACUCAAUUCGCGGAGUCCUACAUUAUUGUUUAACGACCGUACAUUUAGCAAAGACUUCAACUUUUCGGUUUGACCUCGGUUUCCACGAUCUCAAUUAUUUAUUUGAAUUUGCGUACGCGAAACAACCUACUUUGAUUCUGCCCUUCCAUUCAUUGAGUAUGUAUUUAGCUACAUGCUGCAUUUGCAAACCACUCAAACGGCGGCGGAUUUGAAUAAAAAAAAUGAAUUAUUAAGUACUAAAUUAUAUAAUAACAAAAUAUAAAAAUGGGUUUAUAAAUUUAUAGAAAUUAUUUUAAUAGAUUUCACAGGACUUAAUAAUCUCCGUGUGUGUAUAUGAAGAUUAUUCUUAUAUAGAAUAUUAUUAUAGAGAGAUCUUACUGUAUAUGUACACAUAGUAUCACUCAUGAUUCACGACCAAUAAGAGAUAAUGCGAGUCAAUUUUUGUGAACAAUUUGCUAUAUAUGAUGGAAGUAUUUUAUGAGGUCAUCGAUAAUUUCAAUUUCAGCUUAGAAAUUAUUGAAGCAGACUCAUGGUUCACGCUACACCAUGCAUGCUGGAUAUUUUAACCACAGGAGUUAGCUUUUAGUUAUGUCGAGUCGAGUAGAACUGUCGGCAGCAGCUUUAAUCUGUGUCCCAAGCUCCCAAUCAGUUGUAGCUGCGCAAGGUUUGAACAUUACGCUUAUACAAAGCUAAAGACUAAAUUGAAAUAUAUAUGUUUUGCCAGUAUUUUAAUUUAAUCCUCAUCUUAAUCAAAUAAAAAUUUUUAUGGUUGAAACGUUCUUCUAUGUAUGUCAUUAAAAAUGACAACCACAUAUAUAUGCAGCUGUCUUCAUCAAUUAAUGGUUUCUUUGCCGACCUAGGAUUGGUGUAUAACCCAAUGACCCACCAUUGUUGCACCGUCAAAUGAUAUUGCAACACAUGACGCCUGUUGGUGUAAAGGCCUGGUCGGCAAAAUACAACAUAUUUACAUAAAAUCAAAUGAUAUAUCAAACACAGAUGCUCUGUAAGAUUCAAUGCCACCAAUUUAAUUAAUCAAUAAUCGGUAUGGUUAGUAAAAUUAUUCAAGAAAAUCGCACAAAAGACAAACGCUAGAAGAUCUAUCUGGCCAGCAUAGGAGGUUGAACAGCCCGAUGAUCUCUCUCUCUCUCUCUCUCCUUUAUACAUAUGUAGUGACAAAUUCAAGCUUAAUUUGGUUAUGCCUUUGAUCGAUCAUCAUUAUUCAUUGAAGGCUGAAGCUGGAGUAUUACGUAGUAUCUUCGGCAUCCAUGGUACAAAGGACUGUCUUAAAGGUUGACAUUUCAUGUCAGAAAUGCAAGAAGCAGCUGCUCAGAGCAGUCUCCUCCAUCCAAGGCACGCAAGUAACUAGAUCUCUAUAUCUAUAUACAUGCUCCCAUCCCUUCAUCGAUCAAUAUAAUUACCCUUUUAAUUAUCGGAUUACAUUCAGCUUCCUUAUGUAGAAUCUUGGUAAGAGGUGUGGAUAAAAUUGAAAUUGAUGCAGCGAAGGGGACGCUGACAGUAACAGGAGAUGCAGACGCAUAUGAAAUAAUAGUUCGCACAAGAAAAGUACGUAAAUUUGUGGAGGUAGUGAGUAUUGGGCCGCCUUCUGCUCCGCCCAAGCAAGAUGCUCAGAAGAUGCCCGAAGGGAAGAAGCCCGAAAAAAAGUCUGAACAGAAGGCCCAAAUCCACAAUCCCCACACUUGCCCUCUCUGUGACCGAAUGACUGUCGUCCACGUGGAUCAAUACCAUGAACCUACGGUAUCUUGCUCAAUUAUGUGAUUCCUUCCUUGCAUUACUACCCAAAAUAUUGGGCUUUAUGCAUGAACUUAAUUUCUCGAAAUCGCUACCUUCAUAGUGAUUUUGAGAUAUUUAACUACAUUUUACUUGACUUUUUUCUCAAAAGUAACGUACAUCAUCAACGCACGAAUAUAAUUAAUACACACAGUUUAUGUGUAUUUUGGUUAGGUAACUGUUUUUUUAAUUUUAUCUCCUUUCUAUUCAUUUGACAAAGAAUUUUUUUUUAUAAGAUUAGAAUUCUCUUAUGAUUUAAUCUCAUAUUGAGUAAAAAAAUUUAAAUGAUAACGAGUGACUAAUAAAAAAAAUAUUAUACUCAUAUAUUAUUACUAAAAAAUAAGUUAUAAUUUUUUUAAAAAAGUUCAAGAGACUUUUCAUAAAUUUUAAUUAGAUUAAUUAUAUUACCUCACUAUAUAGUUUAUGAAUAUUUUAUCAUUUGUAAUAAAAUUUUAACAUAAAAUUUUGAAACGAAUCUUACUAAAAAAGCAAGCUUCCUUGUAUCAUUUGAGAGCCUCCACUUUUCGGUACUUCUCACAUCUCUUCCUCAAUUUUAAAGGAAGUGAUUUAGUCUCCAUUAGUGGUAUAUUAUGAGUAGUUUUUUUUUUUUUUUUUUUUUUUAAAAAAAGUAGACUCACAAACAAUUUUUUAAAAAAUGUCAUUAUAUAUUGGAUGGUCACAAUCCGUCGACCAUUGUAUACGUUCAGGACGUGAAUUAUCUGCCAACUACAUCAAAUUAUUAAAAGUAGUCACAAAUAAUCACUUUUACGUCAUAUCAAUUUUAAUUUUUAAAGCAAUAAGAUGCAAAGCUUAGUGGGAGGCACAGAAUGUAAUACGUUCGGUAUGAUAGUGAAAUAUAUUUUAGUGGUAAAAUGAUAUGUUAGAAAAUAUUAGGUGAUCAAAUAAUAAUAUUCUUGAAUGAUUUUUAUUUUUCCAGCUUAAUGUAGAUUGGUUUCCACCUGGAGCUGCUUAUCUGAAACGCACUGUUAUAAAGAGCUGCUUAUCUUUCUGAGCUUCUUCAAGACUGUUCUUGGCAAGUCACGUAAACUAUUCGCCAUGAUGAACGACAGAUCCCUAGAUUUCGAGAAAAUUAUGAGAAAGAAAUGAGUAUGGAGUUUCCAUCAGAGAAAAUGCAGUUCCACAAUGGCUGGGCUUGAAAAUUUAUCAAAUUCUCCAGCUAGCCUGGGUACCGAAAUCCCUCUUUUAGAAACAACUUCUACAAUGACUUUGCAGUGAGUUAAUGACUCUAGCUUGCCUCUCGGGGUUUUUUUGACCUAUAGGGAUCAUCGAAUCAAUAGUACUUUCUCAUUUCAAUUAUUUGGCCGGCUAUCAUAUUAGCAUCUCAAUGGCGCUAUAUAUAUCAACGGGAGAGGUAUUAAUUUUUCUUUGUGGUGACCGAUUUAUUCUACUCCUUUACAGGGUUAUUUUAUCCAAAAAUAUGAUCAUAGUUAAUUGGGUUUCUGAAUAUUUAUUUAAAACCCAAGGAACAUCUUUCUGCUGAUAAACAAAAGCUAAUUAAAUAUAAAAAGAUUGCUGUUAGAAAUCUUAGUAAAAAAAUAUAUAUAUUACUGUUACCCUUUGUUACAACUAGUUUAAAAAUAGUUGUUUAAUGCAUUACCACUUUUCUCCCUUUUAAUUACAGCGAGAUGACAUAGUAACAGGUGAAGAAUAUCAAUAUUUGCCAUCUUGUUAUCACCAUUAUGGCGUGAUAUGAAGGAGAGACGGCCGGGUUUCAACUUCUCUUCAUGAUCUUAGUUGGGAUAAUUUAGUUUUCUCAAUUUCAUGGUUAUUAUAAAAAAAAAAUGGUCGUAAUUAAUUGGAAUAUUUGGAUGAACUUAUAAAAAAUAAAAUUAUAUUCAUGAACUUAAACAUUAUCUAUUAAUUAUUCAGUAAUUAGUUAUUUAUCCAUUGAAUUAAAUUAAUAGAAAGAUUAAAUAUUUAAAUUUAAGGGUCUUUAGUAGUCCUAUUAUCAAUACUAUAAAAAUUCAUAUACCAUCAUAAAAAAAUCCACAAAAUCUGAGAAAAAGACAGAAAAAGAAUAAUAAUAAUAAUUUCAUAAAGAAAGAACACAACUAAUUUUUUUUUUUUUUGAAUUCAGAACACAGCUGAAUUUGAAAAAGCGAACAAAAAUUGGAAGUAGAGAAGUGACAGAAGACCUUACUUUAGUUUAGAGAUGGGCUGCCAAGAAUCAAGAUAAAGAAAAAGUAUGAUUGGUGAUUGAGCAAUAUCGCUCUCCUUCUGGGGGGCGAAUUUCGUGGGAUAUACCUGGUUUCCCUCAAAGUACAUAAAAUAUACCUCCAUAUAUUAAAAUUGCUAGUUUUACACAUAUAUACUUAAAAAGAUCAGGGAAAAUACAAAAUAACCUUAAUAAAAGCCAACAAAACAGAAUCGAUUCCCACCCAAAAUCACAAAGUCGAGUAAACAAAAUAAGAGAGAAAACUCCUUGAAGAACAAGCGGCUCUCUACCCAUUAUGCACUUCAGCUAUCACCAUCGCCUCAGCUGUGUCACCACCACCUUGUCUUGCCUCCGUCAUUGGUUACUAGGUAAGCAAUUUUCAUUUUCUUCUUUCUCCUACAAAUAUUCAAAGAAAAAUUUUAGGGUUUUGCUUGAAAAUAGUAAGUGAUUUAGUGAAUUGGGUAUAAUUUAUGGGAUUACUGAAAAUGGAAAGAAUUAGAAGUAUAACAUAAACAAUGUAAUACAAUAUAUCACGAAAAGACAUACAAAAAUAAAUGUUAGACAACAUAUUUUAAUUUGAAGAACUUCAAAUUUAUUUUAUUUCCUCUAUGGAUUUUGUAUUCUUUUUUUUUUUUUGAGUGCAACAAUUAAGAUUUGGCAACAAUGUGGUUAAAGAAAAGUUGAUUAAAGAAUAAUGUGGGUUAAUUUUCCCAAUUUUUGCUUUGCGGUUGGAGAAAGGAUGUGUUUAGUUUUGAAACAUUAUGAUUCAAUUUUAAAGGUUAUUUGAUUGUGUUCAUUGGAUCUGCCUUUUAUUGAUUAUUGUUUUGAAUUUUGUUAUAAACAUAUUGUUCUGUAAAUUUAUGAAAUUAAGGAUUGUAGUGUAAGAAUCUAUAUGUGUUGUGUUCUAAAAUCAGGGUUAGAGUUCAAUUAUGAGCUGGAAAAUAGUUGUUGGCAUGUUAUUAGCCUAAUAACAUUUGAAUUGUUUACUAUCAUGCUUCAUAUGAUUAGUUUAUAACUCAUUUAACCUCUAGAUAAAAUUUUUUACUUGAUCCUGUAGGUUCUGGACUAUAUACCAAAAAAAACCAUGCCAUCCGAUGAUAAUUUAGAUAACGACGAUCAGAAGGCGGUUUUAGUAAAAGUGUCUAAUAUGUCAUCACUAAAGGCACUUUCACUUAUAAAGCAACGUCUCACAGAGCAACAAUAUGAAGUGUUUAAGGAAACAUGCUUUGGUCAUUUUGUGUACCUUCAAGAUCUAAAAUUCGCUGGCCAAAUUGUUCAUGCAUUAUUAUUACGAUAUGUGAGAUCAACUGAUAAGGCAAUGUACUUCAAAAUAGGACAAAAAGAGUGCAGAUUUUCUAUGCUUGAGUUUGCCUUAAUUACGGGAUUGAAAUGCCAUAAAGAACAUGAUCUCCUAGUACAUAAGAAAGACAAUAUUGAUAGUAUAUGUGAUGUGUUCAUGGGGGGCAAUCAUGAAUUUACUUAAAAACAAUUACAGAAAGCUUUUUCAACAGCCCAGUCCAAUGAUGAUAACUUGAUGGUCAAGUUCGCCAUGCUAUAUUUCUUAGAGUCAGUGUUGCUAGGAAAGGAGCCCAAAAAUAAGAUUGAUGACCUUCAUAUUCGUCUAUUAGACAACUUUAAAGAAUUUAAUAAUUAUCCAUGGGGUCGCUUGUCAUUCGAGGCAACAAUGUUAAGCUUGAAGAACAUAGUUACAAGGAGAAGCAAAAGAAUUGGUUCAUUAGAUCCAAACACAGAAGAGAAAUACAGCCUUUAUGGUUUUCCAUUUGCGUUUCAGGUGAGAAUGCUUAUUUAUUUAUUUUUUAUAAUAAAUAGAUGAAUUUUAUAUGAUAUUGAUGUAGUGUUGUAAUAUUGCAGGUGUGGACAUACGAGGUCCUUUCUGAAUUCGGCCAAAAAUUUGCAACCGAAAAGGGUGAUUUAAAGGUUCCAAGAAUUCUUAAGUGGUUCUGUAAGAACAAGAUUAUGGCUGAUGUAAUUAAUAAAGCUUUGAAAGAGGAAGACACCGUAAGUGUUUCAUUCUUAUUUAAGUGCGAACCAUUAACAUGAAUUAUUUAGUUUAACUGGAGUUAUUUAGUUAAAGCAUUAGUACCUUCUUGGUAUAAUUUAAUUAACAUCUAUAUUAUAUAGUUUACUGUAGCGACAACAUUGCAUGCCACCGGAAGUGAUGGAAGUAAUGAGAUUGCACAACAUUACAUGCAAUGGUUCUUGGCUUCGGAAAUUGAGUGGAAGUAAGAGCUUGGCAAACUCAAUGCUGUGAGUGGUGAUGAGCCUAACAACAAACCAAGUUCUGCACAUUCAAAUGUGCAAAUGCAGCAGCAAGUUGAUGUUGUUAUGGAUGAUAGGCAUGCAACCAUCACUGAUGAUAUUUCACACACACCAUUCAAUGCACCCUCCCCAAGAUUUUUUCCUUCGCCACGUAAUGCACCUACUUUUCAGAGGACAACACCGUUCCACGAAAAAACAAGCAAAAAUGUAAGUUAGUUGAUUUGUUUAAAGACAUUUUGAGAUUUUUAUUUAUGAAAUUAACUUAGCAGUAUAUCUUAAAACAUGUUCGUAGGUCACUCCGUCUUGUCGUGUCUCCAUAGGCGAUCAUGUUGCUCCAACAUUUCAGAAAAUUUAUGACAGAUUAAGCAAAAUCGAGGAAAAGGUGCAAAAGAUUGAUGUGUUGGAAGCAAAGCUUGACAACAUUACAAAAGACUUAUGGAGAACGACGAAGUUACUCGAGAAGUUUCUAGCAUCUUUUAAUGCAGCCAAAGAUAGUCCCACUGAUGAGGUUUGCAACAUUUUAAACACUUUUAGAAGCAAUUUUUAUUUUUUUAUAUAUUUUUACAUUUACUUUAGUGGCUUAGAAAAAAUUGAAAUUAAAUUCAGUCGACAAUAAUUACGAGCGAAUUCUAAUUUUGUUAUAUUUAUUCAUAAUACAGCCACCUGCACAUGAUCCUCCUACCUCAGUGGCUUCUGAUGUAGUCAUAGAUAAAAUGGAUGUUCAGGUUUGUAAUAUUAAAUCUAGUUGAAGUUAAAUUCAGUUGGUUACUAUUAUGUAAAGAAUUCUAAAUUAUGUUAUAUUUAUCUGUAAUACAGCUACCUGCACAUGAUCCUCAUAUCUCAGUGGCUUCUCAUGUAGACCAUGAUAAAAUAGAUGAUCAGGUUCGUAAUAUUAAAUUCAGUUUGUGUUGAAUUUACUUGCCAGCAAUUAUGUACAAAAUUAUAAAUUUAAUUGUAUUUAUCCGUAAUACAGCCACUUGCACAUGAUCAUCAAACCGCAGNNNNNNNNNNNNNNNNNNNNNNNNNNNNNNNNNNNNNNNNNNNNNNNNNNNNNNNNNNNNNNNNNNNNNNNNNNNNNNNNNNNNNNNNNNNNNNNNNNNNNNNNNUGUAGGUAUAUAUUCCGCUUCAUCCUAAGCAAGAUCAUUGGGCACUAGCACAGUUUGACCUUCAAAAGGAGAUAAUUUUUGUGUAUGACUCCAUGUUAGAUUAUAUGAAUGACAGUGCAUUUGAGAAGGAAUUGUUGCCGUUUGUAGUUAUGAUGCCAUUGAUUCUAGAUAGGAUCUCAUGGUAUACUUCACAUUCUGAUAAUAAUUCUCUAACUCGUAAGUGGAAGGCUGUGCGAGUUUCAGACAUCCCACAACAAAAAAACAAGUAAGAAAUAUUGUUGCCUCUCUUAUAUUAUCUCUUGAGUUAUGUAAUAUCAAAUAACUAUCACUUUAUAUUUAUCUCUUGCAGCAAUGAUUGUGGGGUUUUUGUUAUGUUUUAUUUGGAGGCACUUGUAUAUGGUCUAGACAUUCCAUAUGACGUUCGUACAGAAGCAGGCAUUAACUCAUACCGAAAACAAGUGGCAACAAGAUUGUUUUCUGACAAGAAGUUGAUAGAGGAGUGCGAUUGAUGAUGACAAGAAGUUCAUUGUUUUGGAUAAUCAAGAAUACUCGACUUCGUAUUAGUUUGUAGUUUAACUUUUGGGAUAAUGUUAAUCAAAACCUUAUGAACUGACUUGUAUUGUUGUAAAUGUGUGAAUAAGUUAAAUAUUUUGGGUUUUGUUAUUAUUUAGUCAGUAUUAAGUCUCCUAAGAAAUUUUAUACUUUUUUAUGUAGGUCGGCUAAAGAGUCGAGUAUACUCAACUUAUUUCAUCAAAGUCUGGUAUUUUGAUUCCCAUACUUCAAUGUAUGUUUGCCUAAAAAAUUCUCCUCUGAUUGACUUAACUCUUGACUUCCUUCAGCAAAGUUAGGAAAAUAGUCGGGAAUACUCAGCUUUUAAUGUAAUCUUGCCUAACAUUGAACAAAAUUUCUCCUCAUCGAAGUCGGGUAAACAGUCGAGAAAACUCGACUUUUAGUGUAAUAUUGCCUAACAUGACAUAAAAUUUCUCCUCAUCGAAGUCAGGUAAAUAGUCGAGAAAACUCGACUUAUAUUGCAAUAUUCUCUAACAUUGAACGAAAAUUCUCCUCUCAUCAAAGUCGGGUAUGAGGUCGAGAAUACUCGGCUUUUAAAGUAACAUUAUGUCAGAUUGAAUGAAAAUUCUCGACUCAUCAAAGUCGGGUAUGAGGUCGAGAAUACUCGGCUUUUAAUGUAACAUUACGUCAGAUUGAAUGAAAAAUCAACUUAUUUCAUCAAAGUCGGGUAUGAGGUCGAGAAUACUCGGCUUUUAAUGUAACAUUACGUCAGAUUGAAUGAAAAAUCAACUUAUUUCAUCAAAGUCGGGUAUGAGGUCGAGAAUACUCGGCUUUUAAUGUAACAUUACGUCAGAUUGAAUGAAAAAUCAACUUAUUUCAUCAAAGUCGGGUAUGAGGUCGAGAAUACUCGGCUUUUAAUGUAACAUUACGUCAGAUUGAAUGAAAAAUCAACUUAUUUCAUCAAAGUCGGGUAUGAGGUCGAGAAUACUCGGCUUUUAAUGUAACAUUACGUCAGAUUGAAUGAAAAAUCAACUUAUUUCAUCAAAGUCGGGUAUGAGGUCGAGAAUACUCGACUUUCAUCGAAGUCGGGUAAAUAACAGAAAAUACUUGACUUUUUUCAGUGCAGUCGGGAUUGAGCUCGAGAAUACUCGACUAUAAUAUAAAAGUCGGGUUCAAAGUCGAGAAUACUCGACUUUGAUUGUAUUAAUAUGUAAUCAUCUAUCAAAAAAUGUAAUAGCUACUAAAUAUUAUCUGCAAUAACUGACCAUGAAAUAGUAUCUGUAACAACUUUAAAUUAUCCAGGAAACAUUAAAUACAAUUGUAUUUCAUCCUUAUACAAUUUCAACUAGUAAAUAACAACUAGUAAAUUAAUCUUUAUCCAGGAAACAUUAAAUAGCAACUAGUAAAUUCAUCCUUCUGCAAUUUCAAUACGAAAAUCCUUAUACAAUGACUUAGCAUAGUCCUUUAAUUGCUCCAAGAACUCAAGCCAUAACCCAAAAAUCUACGAUGCCACAAUUUAAAGACAACAUACAAGCUAAAUCCUUCGUCAAGCCCUGUACACAUAAUGUUAAAUUUAGUACAUAUUUAAACAACAUUAACGAAAUAAAUAAAACAUAAAUGAAUACCAAGAAUUGAGAUAUUUACAUUGCAUAUAAAUUUAAAACAAGGUAUCACUCAUGUAACGACAUUGGCGUCAUGCAUUUGAGUCGAUUGUGUCCACGACCACCACACCGACUGCAUUUACGAGGCACCUUUUCCUCACCCCUAGAUGGUAUUCUAUUAUUUUUUGGACGCCCACUUGACCGCUUUUCUUGAGGAGGAUGUACUUCGCGGGCACAUACAUCACCAGAAACAUCCCACCCCUCUUGAGGACCAACAGGAUAAAUAGUCUCAGAAUAUGCUAACACCUAUGCAUCACUUGAAUAGUAAUGGGAGCAGUAAUCAUAGAUUGAAAAAUCCCGAUGCCUACACAUCGCCACAGCAUGUACACAUGGUAAUUGUUCAAGUUGGAAUUCCCGACAAGUGCAAGUUUUCUCUAACAUGUUCACAUGCCCAUCAAGAUCACCAUCUUUAACAAUAAAUUCAUAUAGAUUUAAGUUGAUCACUCGAAAAUUUUGAGAGGCAAUUUGUCUACUUCUCACUACCUUAUCUGCUCAUUUUGUCAGUCGACUAUUUGUAGCCGCAGCCUCUUCACGACGCUUACAAAACCACUCUCGUAGUUUGUCAAUUAUCCCAUCCAUUAGUUUAUGAAUAGGUAACAAUCGAUCAGAUUUUAAAAUUCCAUUCAUGCAUUCAGCAAUAUUGGUAUUCAUAAUACUGUAACGUCGUCCAUCAAAGUGCGAACAUGCCCACUUAUCAAUUCCUGCCUCCUCAAGAUACUUUCCAACUGCUUCGCUGACCUUGUAUAUCUCAUUCAUAUAAUAUGUGAAGUGUGUUAGUCGAUAAACUUUUAAAGCCGCUUCAAAUAUACCACCAACAUCAACAUCUUUAAAGUGAGUCCUAAGGUUUUGCUUUAAGUGGUAUGUACAAACUCCAUAGGUUGCAUUCGGGAACACAGUAGAUACAGAUUUCUUAAUACUUGGAUGGCGGUCAGAAAUGAAAACUAAAUUUUCAACUUCCCCAAUUGAUUCUCUCAACUUUGUGAAAAACCACAACCAAGAUGCAUCGUUCUCACUAUCACCGACACCGAAAGCUAAUGGAUAAAUCUGAUUGUUACCAUCCUUGCAUGUGGCAAUGAACAUAGUUCCUUUNNNNNNNNNNNNNNNNNNNNNNNNNNNNNNNNNNNNNNNNNNNNNNNNNNNNNNNNNNNNNNNNNNNNNNNNNNNNNNNNNNNNNNNNNNNNNNNNNNNNNNNNNNNNNNNNNNNNNNNNNNNNNNNNNNNNNNNNNNNNNNNNNNNNNNNNNNNNNNNNNNNNNNNNNNNNNNNNNNNNNNNNNNNNNNNNNNNNNNNNNNNNNNNNNNNNNNNNNNNNNNNNNNNNNNNNNNNNNNNNNNNNNNNNNNNNNNNNNNNNNNNNNNNNNNNNNNNNNNNNNNNNNNNNNNNNNNNNNNNNNNNNNNNNNNNNNNNNNNNNNNNNNNNNNNNNNNNNNNNNNNNNNNNNNNNNNNNNNNNNNNNNNNNNNNNNNNNNNNNNNNNNNNNNNNNNNNNNNNNNNNNNNNNNNNNNNNNNNNNNNNNNNNNNNNNNNNNNNNNNNNNNNNNNNNNNNNNNNNNNNNNNNNNNNNNNNNNNNNNNNNNNNNNNNNNNNNNNNNNNNNNNNNNNNNNNNNNNNNNNNNNNNNNNNNNNNNNNNNNNNNNNNNNNNNNNNNNNNNNNNNNNNNNNNNNNNNNNNNNNNNNNNNNNNNNNNNNNNNNNNNNNNNNNNNNNNNNNNNNNNNNNNNNNNNNNNNNNNNNNNNNNNNNNNNNNNNNNNNNNNNNNNNNNNNNNNNNNNNNNNNNNNNNNNNNNNNNNNNNNNNNNNNNNNNNNNNNNNNNNNNNNNNNNNNNNNNNNNNNNNNNNNNNNNNNNNNNNNNNNNNNNNNNNNNNNNNNNNNNNNNNNNNNNNNNNNNNNNNNNNNNNNNNNNNNNNNNNNNNNNNNNNNNNNNNNNNNNNNNNNNNNNNNNNNNNNNNNNNNNNNNNNNNNNNNNNNNNNNNNNNNNNNNNNNNNNNGAACGAAUCAUUUGUGCUUAUUGAAUUACUACUAGCCAGCAAACCAAGUCUCGGCAAAUAGUUGUUACUACACCGUGGCUGAAUUAUGGUCAACACCGGUGGACUAUCAGUUCUUGCUUCAAUAUUCGGUAGUGUCAUGUCUUCGGCAUCAAGAUGGACAGUUCGUGCUUCAAUAUCCGGUACCAUUCUGUCUUCGACAUCAAGAUAGACCUCUGUUGGAUGAGGAAUAAAAAUAUCAUCUUCUAUUCUAACUCUGUCAACUUCAGGUUAGGAAGCUGAUAAAUCAACGGUUGGAUAAUAGUGACUCUCCUCCCAAGAAAGGUGUCUUGCAGGUGGACUAUUCUCUGCCCUUAUAUCGCCAUUACGCUCGAUAAUAUUUACUCUACGUUCAUAAGUGAUGCAUAGAGGAUUUCUGAAACCGCUAUUAGCUUCUUCCAAAAAAAAUUCUACAUCACAAUCAUUCAAAAUUUCCAUAGGUGGCAAAGGCUCUGACGAUGUUUUGAACUUGAACUUCAUGCUAAUAACAAAUUCAGAAAGAUCAAUAGAAAUCACUUCUGCCACUUUUUCGACAAGUUGCUCAAGUGUAGUUGAAUGUGGUACUUUAAUACCCCGUAUCUGAGUACCGGUAAAUCUAUAUUCACCAUUUUCCUGAGUCCAUUCACCAUUAUACAAUAUAGGAACACGUACAAUUGCCAUUAAUGAGUGAAGACACUACCAUCAUUAGAAAAAUUUUAGUACAAAAAAUAUGGAUCUAGUGACUUACUCGACCUUAUUACUCGACUUAUUUUGUAAAAUUACUCGACUUAAUACUCAACAUUCAACACACUAACUUGACUUCUUACUUGACUUACUCAACUCAUUUCUUACUCAUCAAAAUUCUCGACUUACCCGACUUCUUACUAUACUUAUUCAAUCCACUUACUCGACUUCGCGCUCGACUAAAUACUCGACUUAUUCAAUUGUCUUCAUUUCUUACUCGACUAAAUGCUCAACUUACCAGACUUCAUUCCUGACUUAGUACUCGACUAGAUACUCGACUUAUUCAAUGCAUUCACUUCUUACUCGACUGAAUGCUUAACUUACCAGACUUCAUACCGGACUUUGUACUGGACUACAUACUCGACUUAUUCAAUGCAUUUACUUCUUACUCGAAUGAAUGCUCAACUUACCAGACUUCAUACUCGACUUUGUACUCGACUAGAUACUCGACUUAUUCAAUUGCCUUAACUUCUUACUCGACUAAAUGGUCAACUUACCAGACUUUAUACCCGACUUUAUACUGGACUAAAUACUCGACUUAUUCAAUUGCCUUCAUUUCUUACUCGAUUGAAUGCUCAACUUACCAGACUCCAUACUUGACUUCUUUAAAAAUAUUAAUACUCAACUCAAUGUACUUACCCGACUUAUUACUUGACCAUUAAUACUCGACUUAUUUAAUAUGCUUACUCUACUCAUUUAAUAUUCUUACUCGACUUCUUACCCGACCAUAUACUCGACUUACUUAUCUCCAAUUCUUACUGGACUAAAUUCUCGAUUUACCCGACUUCGUACCCGACUUCUUCCUGCACUGAUUCUUCAAUCACUCAAAACUUAAAUGUAGUCUUAAAUCCAUACAUUCUAUGAAAUAGUGUGUGUGUGCAAGCACAAAAAAUAAAUAAUGUACUACUAAAAUUCAUAAAUCAUUAGCAAGAAUACUUAUAAUGAAAUGAAAUCAAAACAUAACCAUAUAAAUAGAAUGUAUUUCAAACAUACCUUGAUAAUGCACCUUCUUAACUGUUUAUUUUUAUCAAAAACCUUUAUAUUGGAGCUAAAGUCAAGUAAGGAAACUAUCAAAUAAUGAAAUGGAGAGAUCGAAGGAAACUGUCAAAGAGGGAAAAUGGCGAGAAGAGAAGAAAAUAAAGAGGGAAAUGUUGAGAAGAAAAAUAGAGAAUGGUGAGAGAAGUCCGAAAAAGAGAAGCCAUGGGGGGAAAAAAGAUGUGAAUUCUUGGUUUUUUAAGGUUAUUUUUGACUUUUCCUAUCUUCAUGGGGUAUAUGUAUGUAAUAGGAUAUAAAUUUGGUAUUUGAAGGUGAAUUGGGGGCAUUUAAAUAAAAAACCCCCUUCUGGGUGAGUUGUUAUUGUUAUGACUUAAUGACAUUUGACUCCUAAACUCCUCCCUCCUAUAAACUAUAUUAGCAGUUGUGGUUAGUACACGAUGUAGAAUAUUACCUACUACUUGCACCUCCCUGUAGAUAAUUUGCCAAAACUUUUUUAUUUUAUGAUCAACCAAUUCCAGAUCAAGUAAACUAAACGAAGAUACUAAAACAAAUGGCCGAUAAAAUUCCCAGAGUUUUCUGUAUCGGAACUGCCGAUACAAAAUUGGAGGAGCUUCAGUUUCUUUCUGGAUCUGUUCGAUCCAAUCUUGCCACCUUCUCCAACAACUCCUCUUCCAAGGUAACAUUUGUUGGUAUGCGUUCAUUACAUUUAAUAAUUG
rnacentral:lncRNA from 1 species